rnacentral:lncRNA from 1 species
ACGGAAUCUAGACACCAUAGAGGAUGUUCGACCCGCACCUAUAAACCCUAUCGAUCCUGCUAACGGGAUUAUGGGCUACAAAGGUAACUCGGAAAUGUCACGUUCCUCGCUACUACCAUGGUCUAGCUAGACAGGGGAUAUCUAUGAGUAUCCUAGCCCAAACACCACGUUUACGCUAGAGAUGAUUACUCUAAACUCUACGUGAAGAGAUCAAAGUAAACUCAUAAGCCAAAGAACAACAAAACAGAGAACUUACUAGAAUUUAGAAGUCGAAAUACUGAAGAAUCCUAGGAGCAAGCCUCGGGUUAGGAGACUUGAUCCCGCAGGUACAACCUCGGAGUAGACACCGACAGGCCGGGCUUCCUCUGAUCUACACCUCCACUCUAUCUCUCUCAAUCUAGUAGAACUAAUUCUACUCUCACAUUGGAUGCUAAGCCCUAUGAGGUGGGAACCCUAAGGAACCUCUCUCUCUGAAUCCUCUCUGGAAAAUAUGCUAAUGAAUAAUGGGAUUCUAUCUCUCCAGGGGCCAGGGGCCUAGCUUAUAUAGCCUUUUCAAAUGAAUCUGGGCCGUCGGAUCAAACCGACCUUGAUUGAACAGUUCUCCUUGAUCCUCAAUGGCGGUGGACCAUAAUCCGCGUGAUUCAGUGGGAUUGGCCACCAGAGGUGGGCGGGCGCCCAAGGGGGAGGGCGCCCGAUCGGCCUCCCGUUCGUUCCUGUAGGUUCUUGAGUCUUCUAGAUGUUGAAUAAUUGCGGUGCACGUUAAUAUCUCUAUGUAAACCUGACGUGUGGACCUUUCUUCCAUAUUUCCUGAUAACCCCCUGCAGAAAUAGAUAAAUAGCAAAACUCGUGGAAUUCUGUCAGAUCAAACCCUGAUUCUAGGUGUUGUUUGUAUAUUAGUCCUUUUUGGUGUUUAUUUCAUAAUUAAAAUUGAUACUUAAAAACCGUCAACAAACACCCCCAUACUUAGGCUUUUGCUCGUCCUCAAGAAAAGGAUGGUUAAGAAAAAUAUCUGGGGUUAAAACAUUGUAAAACAUUCUCUUCAUACCUACAGGGUGUUGUAAAAAUCCACUGUGUACCGUAGUCAGGGAAAUAUAUGGUCUAGAGUAGAGGUCCUUUCUUCUCAAUCUUGUCACUUGGAGUUUUUGUAUGUUUUUGAAAAUAAAUUAGCAUACCUUUAUCCUCAUAGGUUCUCUCAGAUCACUCAUUUAUCUUUUAUAUAUCUCUCUCAGGCUGUUUUAAUUUGCAGAAAUUCUCAAGCAUUCUUACCUUGCAUUUAUUGCCUGAUCAAAACGGGAUCCGAGGGGAGGAAUGUCAUACUCUUAGAUUAAAGACUUUGGAAAUUAAAAACUUGUCAACUCUUACUGGCAUAUUGCUUAUUAGAGGGACCAUGGGCUAUCAUUUUCCCUCUUUUUUUUCUUUUUUUUCAGGUGGACACCGAGGUACCCCUAAUUCUACUGGAGGACAUUUGUCCAUUUUUUUUCUGCGAGGUUGUCGAGCACUUGCUCUUUUUUAUUUCCUCGAAAUACUCAUAUUUUUGCAUAGCCCAUGCCUCUAACGCAAUAAUACUUCGGAAGAGUGAAUCUUUCUGAAUAAAUGUCCUGAUCUUAGAGGCAUGAUAAAUCUCUCAACAAGGGUCUAACUCGUUUUGAACAAACUCAAUACAGAGCAGAUAGCUUUUCUAAUUAUUUAAUUUUCAGGUUUAGCAGGCAUAUAAAACACUAAGAGCAACUCCAACAGAUAUGCUAUCCAUGUUGUCUAGGCUAUUUUUACAUUUUUAAAGCAAAAGUUAAACUCCAACAGAUGUGCCAUCUGGUUUGCUAAAAUAGCAAGUUUGCUAUUCCUAAACUUUCGCUUGUCAUAUAUAGCAUGUCGUCCUCACUAGCUAUCCUAUACAAAGGUUGUUGUGGAACUCUAUUCUUUGAGUGAGUUUUUUAUUUUACACAAUGGCUAAAUCUUGUAAUUUAGAAUAUAAUUUUAGCUAGUCUCUUGGAGAUGCUCUAAGGAUGGUAGCUAUAAUUUUUGAAGAUUUUUGAAAUAAAUUCUCCAAGCAACAACGAUAUCAAGAAUAAGAUACUCAUACUCUACCAUCUCACAUUCCACAGUGACUUAAGUAACACAGGGUUUUAAAAUGAUUUUUCAAUAAUUGCAGGUUUUCAGGAAAAAUCACAGAGUGAGAUUAAUCAUGAUUAGAUACAUUUUGAUCAUGUUAAUCUAUCAUGUCGGAGACAAUAUUCUGCAGAAACCAAGAUAUAUGUGUAUGUAUAAAAUGUGCAGAGUAUGUACCUGAAUCGUGGAGUGGUGUAGUCGAAGUGCUUUUGGCAUGUCGAGGGAUCUCCCCCAUACUUGUUUUCUGCUUACUUGCAUAAAAAAAAUAAAGUGGAGACACACAAGACAUAAUAAUAAUCUUUAUUCUUGAGGCAUUUAUUACAACUGACUAGUAAUGAACUGAAGCUAAUAAUAGAUCUAAGCCGAAUUUAAAGAUGAAUAACUAAGAUACAUUGCGUCAAGAUCUAAACUAGAUAACUUAGCGGCGCUCUAACUCCCUAAUCUUCUUAUUGGCACCAGCAAGAUCAUGCUUAAGACCUAGUAUAACGGUGUUCUGGUUAGAGAGCUGUCUAUUGAUAGAGUUAACCGAGGACUGGAGCUCUAUGAUGACCUUGUCUAGCCUACGAACGUCCUCAUCUACAUCUGCUAUAGUCUUGCGACGCUUAGGAGGUGUGUCAAUAGCGUUGAGGGCGUGCUUCGGGGCUGCCUUUGGAGGGAUGAAGCGGACUUUGGCUCCUCUAACCCCCUCGAAGUAAGGCCUCUCCUCCUCCGUAGUGUAGCAGAUGCUGCUGAUCUCGCCGCUCCGGUUGGUCUUGACUCCAACGACCCGCUCAUUGGGUCUGGGUGGCAGGAUUCUCGUGCCGGCUGGCACCUUGACGGUGGCCUCCUUCUUGGCUGACAGUCCCUUUAGAAGUAGGGGCUGCGGCAGUGCGGUGAGAACUAGUUGAGCAUGGUAGGAUUAGGUGGAGCUGCGCUGGCGUGAUGGCAUGGCUGCUAGCUGUCGCUCUGUGUGGGCCGAGACGAGAGCGUAGGCGUCGGGGUCUUCCUUGGGCUUCUUGUUGAGGUCGAAAGGGACGACUUCCCAAUCGUCGUGGUACUCGUCGGCCAUUGGAGCAGCGAGGGACUAAGCAAGCUCUAAUUGAAGAAGGAGAGAAGGCUUGAAUGAAUUGGUGUUGAAAACUAACGUCAGGGUUCCGUUUAUAUAGGGGUCAAAAAGUGCCUCUAGGGUUUGCUCGGGCUACUCCCGCCGCCAUGCGUGCGAAACAUUCAAUCCGCAUGAUUAUUUAGUUUACCAUAAAUGGGUUUAUCGCGAUAGAGGAAAUUGGGACUGAGAGGAGACAGGGGCUGGACGCCCGCCCUCAUCAUCAGGGCGCCCGCCCUUUGCGUGGCUCCGUUGUGGGCCCGCCUCCUCGAGCAUGCUUCUAGAUUCAAAAUUUAUUCGAAAAAUAUAUACGUGGUCCAAAAACGUCAGAUUAAAAAGGUCGGGCUCUAAUUUUCCAUAGGAAGGUAGACAUGGAUCACGUCUAUUUCCUCUAAUUCUUUAUUAGGCUCAAAAAAUAAUUUAAGACGUUGACCAUUUACCUUGAAUAACGUACCUUCGUUAUUUUGAAGUGUGAUAGCUCCGUGGGAUGAUGAAUUGAUUACCUUGAAUGGUCCUUCCCAUUUACUCUGGAGUUUUCCAUGCCCGAAAAGCUUUACCCUAGAAUUAAAAAGUAAUACCUUAUCUCCAGGUGCGAACUCCUUCUUCUUGAUCCUCUUGUCAUGCCACCUUUUGACUCUUUCUUUGUAGAUCUUCGAGUUGUGAUAUGCUUUCUCUCGCCAUUCUUCCAAUUCUAAUAGUUGCAUUCUUCUAUGAUCUCCAGCGACAUCUAGGUCCAUAUUCCAUCUCCUUAUGGCCCAGUGUGCUUUGAACUCUAAUUCAACAGGUAGGUGGCAAGUCUUCCCGUACACCAAUUGGUAUGGGGACAUUCCAAUUGGGGUCUUGUAUGCUGUCCGGUAUGCCCAGAGUGCAUCGGGUAACUUGUCCUUCCAUGCCGUUCCCAUCUCAUUGACUGUUUUUUGAAGAAUAUUCUUGAUUUUCUUGUGGAAGUCUCUGCUUGGCCACUUGUCUGAGGAUGGUAGGGGGUAGCGAUGUUGUGACGGAUUCCAUGUUUUGAUAGAUAGUGCUUGAAGCGUUUGUCGAUGAAGUGUGCUCCUCCAUCACUUAUCACUACUUUGGGGACUCCAAAUCUUAGAAAUAUAAUUUCUUCAAACAUCCUCUUUGAACUGAUGUUGUCGGCGUGUUUGCAAGGUAGUGCCUCUAACCACUUGGAGACGUAGUCAACUGCCACCAAGAUGAUCUCACACUUCUUUGAUGGGGGAAAUGGACCCAUGUAGUCUAUUCCCCAGACAUCAAAGAGCUCAAUCUCAAGGUUGUUGGUGAGUGGCAUGGCAUCUCUUGUGUUUAUGUUUCCGUGCCUUUGACAUGGCCCGCAUCUUCUGAUAUAUUGCUUUGUGUUUUCAUACAUUGUAGGCCAGUAGAAUCCACACUGCCAGAUCUUUGAAUGUGUACGGAAUGCUCCAUAAUGACCUCCAUAUGGUGAUGAAUGACAUCUGCCGAUGAUCUUCCAUCCUUCCUCGGUGGUCACACAUCUUCUGAGUAAGCCAUUAGAGCAUACUCGGAAGAGGUAUGGCUCAUCCCAUAUAUGUGAACGAGUUUCUUGAAUAAGCUUCUUCUUGUUCGCUCCUGGUGGUACAUACCCUGAAAACCAUAAAAUCAACAAUAUCUGCAUACCAGGGGUCAGACCUGUUAAUCCCGUAGAGCAUGUCAUCCCGGAGUGAAUCAUUGAUGGGGGUUUCCUGUGGAUUCUUAAAAUACAUUCUAGACAAGUGAUCAGCAACAGAAUUUUCUACUCCCUUUUUAUCUUUUAUUUCCAAGUCAAAUUCUUGAAGUAAUAAGAUCCAUCUAAUCAGACGAGGUUUAGCAUCUUUUUUAUUGAGUAGAUAUUUUAGUGCAGCAUGAUCAGUGUAAACAAUUAUUUUAGCUCCAACUAAAUAAGAUCUAAAUUUAUCAAUGACAAAGACAACGGCCAGAAGCUCUUUUUCAGUGGUUGCAUAAUUAAGUUGAGCUCCUGUCAAAGUUUUACUGGCAUAAGCAAUUGCAUGAUGCUUCUUAUUUUUAGUUUGUCCCAAGACUGCCCCCACAGCAUAGUCACUAGCAUCACACAUAAUUUCAAAAGGCAAUGCCCAAUCAGGGGGUUGAAUGAUUGGUGUAGAGACGAGUGCAUUCUCUAAUAAAUUGAAAGAUGUUAGGCAUGCAUCAUCAAAUUCGAAAGGACCAUCCUUGGCUAGCAAAAGAGUACGUGGUCUAGCAAUGAAUGAAAAAUCUUUUAUGAAUCUGCGAUAAAAACGAGCAUGGCCAAGAAAGCUUCGAAUUCCUUUUAUAUUCACAGGUGGAGGUAGUUGUUCAAUUACUUCAAUUUUAGCUUUGUCUACCUCAAUACCUCUUUCAGACACUAGGUGUCCCAGCACUAUUCCUUCCCUAACCAUAACAUGACAUUUUUCCCAAUUAAGGACUAAGUGCUUUUCUUCACAUCUUUGCAAAACCUUGUCUAAGUUUUCAAGACAACUAUCAAAAGUUUUUCCAUAUACAGAGAAAUCAUCCAUGAUAACUUCCAUAAUCUCUUCAAUCAUAUGAGAAAAUAUAGACAUCAUGCAUCUUUGAAAAGAAGCUGGUGCAUUACAUAACCCAAAAGACAUUCUACGGUAAGCAUAAGUUCCGUAUGGGCAUGUAAAAGUGGUUUUGCUUUGAUCAUCGGGAUGGAUCGGGAUCUGGUGAUACACUGAAUAUCCAUCUAAGAAAUAGAAGAACGAAUGGUUCGCUAAUCGCUCUAGCAUCUCAUCUAUGAAGGGUAAAGUAAAAUGAUCCUUUUUCAUGGCUUUGUUCAGUUUUCUAUAGUCUAUGCACAUCCGCCACCCUGUGACGGUGCGUUGCGGAAUUAGCUCGUUCUUUUCAUUCGUAACGACAGUCAUGCCUCCCUUUUUAGGCACAACUUGGACUGGGCUAACCCACUCACUGUGCGGCACAAGAUAUAUAAUCCCUCUAUGCAGCAACUUUAUAACUUCCUUUUUAACUACCUAUCUCAUCGCGUUGUUAAGUCUACGUUGGGGCUCUCGAGAAGGUAAAACAAAAGGAUCUGUCGAAAUACGAUGAGUACAAAUCAUAGGAUUGAUUCCUGUAAGAUCUUGGAGUGAGUAGCCGAAAACUGAGUGAUGUUUCUCAAGAAUGGUCAUUAAUCACAGAGUUUGCUCCUGAGUGAGUUUGUCACUAAUGAUCACAAGAAACUCUGGAUAAUUGUUUAGGAAAGCAUAUGUAAGACCGGGUGGCAAAGGCUUAAGCUCUAUGGGAGGUCUAGGUGUUUCUGCAAACUCAUCUAAGGGUUCAGGUUCAGAAGGUUCAGCCUCUUCUUCUGUGAAGAAAGGAGCCUCGUCUUCUAAGUCUGGUUCAUUUAAAAGCUCUAGAGAUGCAGCCUUUACCUCCUCCAUAGGAUCGGGCAAAAGAUAUGACUCGGUCUUAUUAUUUAAGGAGUGAGAAAUCGUUAUUGGAAAUUUAAAAGCUUUUCCAAAAGAAAUGUGUAGCUUUUCCAGUAUGACCUUCAUAAAGGAGUCUUCUAAAAGGUUGUCCUAUCAACAGGUCGAAGUCCCAUGUAUCAAAGAUAUAAAAGUUCAAAUGAACCAUGGAGCCUUCUACCAUAAAGGGUAGGACAUUAAUAAUUCCAAGACUCGGGACUAAUUGUCCCAAAGAUUCCUUUAUGACCUUUGUUGUGGGGGUUAAGACCAAAUUUUUAAAUAAUUUAAGUGCAAAAGAUUCAGACAUGAUGUUGAUCCCCACAACAGGAUUAUAGAGAGCAUCAAAUUGAUCAGAAUCAUAAGCACAGCGUAUAGUUAUAGGAGGUGUGUCCAAACGGAUCACAUCAGAGGAAAGCUCUGACUCCUCCAACCAUUCGCUACUCAUGACUGAGAUAAGCUCUCUCAAUUGAUGUUCACUUGGCAAACAAAUGCUAAAAUGGCCGUUUUGGGGUCUAUCUAUAGAAUGAUAGUUUGAAAUGUUUCCAAAAUCGGCAAAAAGAUCAGAUUCUAUAUCCAGCAUGAAAUCAGGUGGUGGAAUUUCUUCCUUUUGUGGCUCAGAACUUGGGAUAGCUAAAGUAGAUGGAGAAUUUGGUAUAGUGUCUACUUCGGCUUUGUGGGUUUCAUCAUGAAGGGUAUUAUCCAUCUCAGCUUCUAGGAUUCUAUCUAGGAUUGCUCUAGCGUCAUCAGUAGGGAUGCGAAAGAAAGAACCUCCAGACAUUGUAUGUAGCAUUUGUUUAUGAUCUUUCUGAAGACCUCAAAAAAUGUGAAAUAAAAGAACAGGGUCUUCAAGAUUAAGGUUUGGACCAGAUUCUAAAAGGUCAGAAAAACGUUUCUAGGAUUUUCCCAAAGUUUCAUUAUCUUUUUGUUUAAAAGAUAGGACUUCAAGUCUGAGGUUGCCGAUACGGUCGAGGGAAUAAAAAUCUAGACAAAAGUUGGCUCGUAAGACUCCCCAUUCACCUCAUUGUUGACUUACCUUCUGACUAUACCAUUGUCUAGCUUCUCCCCUUAAAGAAAAAGGAAAAAGCUUCCAACGUAAAGUUUUAUCAGAAAUGCCUUCAAUGCGAAGACAAUCACAUGUUUCCUCAAAAUCUCUAAUAUGAAGGUAAGGGUUUUCAUCUUCCUUUCCUAAAAAAGAUAGGUUUUGAAUCAUGGCAAUCAACCUGGAACUUAACUUAUACUGGGAUGUUUGGAUAGGCCGUGAUGACUCCCAUUGUAAAAGGUCAGUUUCCGAAGGUGUUGCAAAUUGAUAGAUCGAUUUAGAAUCUUGGUUUUCCAUAAGGUAAGAGUAAAUAAAAUAAAGAAUAAAAAGAUAAGAAAAAAUAAAAGUAUAGAUACAAGCUAGUAGUAAGACUCAAGGUUAUCUUAGCAAACCAUCUUUCUCCCCGGCAACUGCGCCAGAAAUGCUUGUUGAUAUUUGGUAAGACAAUCAGGAAUUGAUCUGCAAGCGCACGGAUAUCGAUGAGCACUUCACCCGGGAUGUUAUCCAGAGUAUCGUAUUUAUAUUUUUACCACUAGGAGAAAGCGUGCAUCUGACUAACCAGGUCUAUUACUACUAACCUUUAGACUACAAACAAUGUGACUCGAUGUGAGUGAUGUAUAGAGAAGACUACAACCGCACUCUCAUUCUAACCUUGGUAAGGAUGAUCUACUAUUCUGUUAGGGAGGCUCACGGAAUCUAGACACCACAGAGGAUGUUCGACCCACACCUAUAAACCCUAUCGAUCCUGCUAAUGAGAUUAUGGGCUACAAAGGUAACUCGGAAAUGUCACGUUCCUGGCUACUACCAUGGUCCAGCUAGACAGGGGAUAUCUAUGAGUAUCCUAGCCCAAACACCACGUUUACGCCAGAGAUGAUUACUCUAAACUCUACGCGAAGAGAUCAAAGUAAACUCAUAAACCAAAGAACAAUAAAACAAAGAACUUACCAGAAUUUAGAAGUCGAAAUACUGAAGAAUCCUAGGAGCAAGCCUCGAGUUAGGAGACUUGAUCCCACAGGUACAACCUCAGAGUAGACACUGACAGGUCGGGCUUCCUCCGAUCUACACCUCCACUCUAUCUCUCUCAAUCUAGUAGAACUAAUUAUACUCUCACAUUGGAUGCUAAGCCCUAUGAGGUGGGAACCCUAAGGAACCUCUCUCUCUGAAUCCUCUCUGGAAAAUAUGCUAAUGAAUAAUGGGAUUCUAUCUCUCCAGGGGCCAGGGGCAUUGCUUAUAUAGCCUUUUCAAAUGAAUCUGGGCCGUCGGAUCAAACCGACCUUGAUUGAACAGUUCUCCUUGAUCCUCAAAGGCGGUGGAGCAUAAUCCGCGUGAUUCACCGUGAUUGGCCACUAGAGGUGGGCGGGCGCCCAAGGAGGGAGGGCGGGUGCCCUGCCCCUGGGCCCAAUUGGCCUCCCGUUCGUUCCCAUGGCUUCUGGAGUCUUCUAGAUGUUGAAUAAUUGCGGUGCACAUUAAUAUCUCUAUGUAAACCUAACGUGUGGGCCUUUCUUCCAUAUUUCCUGAUAACCCCCUGCAGAAAUAGAUAAACAGCAAAACUCAUGGAAUUCUGUCAGAUCAAACCCUAAUUCUAGGUGUUGUUUGUAUAUUAGUCCUUUUCCUUGUUUAUUUCAUAAUUAAAAUUGAUACUUAAGAACCGUCAACAUGUGCCUCUAGAAAUAGAAGGGGGAGACGGAGAGAAGACCUUAGGUGAAGCUGAGAAGCCGUUUAUUUGUUGGUGCAAGCGCUUCAUAUUUAUUCCUCACCAUAGGUUUGUGCGUGAUUUUACUUCUUAUAUUAUAUAUUAUGUAUUGAAUUUAAAAAAGUUUGCUCACAAAACUUGUAAUUGUUUUCUUUGGAGGGACUCCUCCAACCUAAGUUCAGUUCUUUCCCUAGCGCAUCAUAGUGCUGCGGGCGGUGACAAUGCUGGAUCUCCUCCAACACCUGCGGCGGCCACACCGACCCCACCACCGCCUCCACCAUGCUCUCCACCUCCUCCACCGAGGUCUCCAACUCCUCCACCCCAUUCUCCAACACCAAGAAGAUUGGCCCCACCACCUCCACCGCCUGCACCGCCCUCUCCAAAGAGUACACGGUCGGUCCCCUCGCCUCCAAAGCGAGGUAGUCAGAAGCGGUCCGCCCAAGAACGACCGAAGUCAUCGGUCCCACCUCCAAAGAAGGCUGCCUCAGCAAAGAAAGCUAAGACACCAGCACUUUCGGACUAUGAGCGGUCUCUGGUCAAGUCUUCACAACCUAGAAAGAGAGUAGGAAAGGUGGUCCCACAGCUCGGAGAAGUAUCAAAACCGGUGCCCCUUUGAUUGUGCCAAAUCAAUACGGCUCAAAUGAAGACUUGAUGCCAAAGAAAUCCUUAGCGUUGUCUGAGCUAGAUUCGCUUGAGCAUUACUUUGGACAGAGCGGUUUAAAUAUUGAGGACAUUGCCACCAUUAUUGGAUGUCAAACAUUUGAAAAAGCUGAGGUAGUUGUUCAAUGGAGGGCAACAUAUGAACUGGGCAGGAGUCUAUUCAACCCUCAGCGUUUACAUGAGCUCGACACACAAAUGUUUGCAAUAAACAAGUGGUGCAUGGAGGCGUCUAAAAGGGGAGAUAAUUGGAUUUCUGUUCGUAUUAGACAACAUCACUACUUCCGUGGAGAUGACCUCAUAUACGUUCAGUUCGAAGAAUUGCACCAAUUAUGUCACCUCGACGCUCUCGACAAAUCUCUUGUCAGGUGCUUUUGUCUGUAAGUAUUUCUUUCUUUUUAUUAAACUUCUUCCUUCUUUAAUUAUAUGUAUAUAAUCCUUACACAUUUAGGAUUUGUAUGUAUAUAUGCAGGCACCAAAUGAGAGAGCUCACAAUUAGAAAUGACAAUAGUAUUGGGUUCAUUGACCCUUAUAUUGUUUUCAAGGCUCUGCAGGCAGUGUGGACAGCAUCUCAUGAGACAGAAGUCUGCACCAAUCUUAUAAGGUACUUUGUGAACCAAAAAGAAAAACAAAAAAAUACUCUUCCCCUUCAACUUUGAGUGCGUUAUAUAGUUAUUAAGUGCAUGCACAUUUUAUUUUACUUAUUAUUACUCGAGACGAGUUUUAUAUAGUUAUAUAUAGGCCUGACUAUAUAUAUGUGUAAACAGCUUUCACUGGAUACUCAUGGUUAUUGAAAUUCCCAAGAACCGGUUGAUAAUCUUUGACUCAAUGAGAAAACCACAAGAAAAUUUUCAAAAAUGGUAAACAUUAUUCAAAGGUACGUAAUGUCGAUCUCACCUAGAAGAAUAUCAUAAUAUGACUCUAUAAUUAUUAGUUCACGAUCCACAAUGGCUGUGUGUAGGGUUUGGGAAAGAUUUAUUGACCGUGAACAUCUCAGUGGUUGUAAAGCGCCGCUUAAUAUAAUUCAUCCACAAGUAAGUUAUACUAGCUAGCAAACUUUCGCUAACUUUUAGCCUUCUUAUUGUCGUGGUCAUGAAUAUUAUAUAUAUAUAUAUAUCAUACAGUGGUGUUUAAGACAAGAAGGGGGGAACAACCUAUGUGUAUAUUACGUGUGCAAAUUCAUAAUGGCACAAGUCAAUCAAACACCCAUAGAGACGCUCAGAGUACGUUACAUGUCUCUUUUCACAUCUCCUGCAUUAUAUUGAAUAACUUAGAUAACUAAUACCUUUUUUAUUUAUUUCAAAUUAAAGACGGAAUGGUUGAGGGAAAAGGUCAUGCAAAACGACCGAAUCAAAGCUAUCCAAGAGACGAUAGCAGGAUUUCUCCGCAAGCAAGUGAUCAAUCCAAACGGCGAGUUUCACUUCAACGGCAACGAAACUCUUAUUCCAAACAACGAUGAUCAUUUGUAUCGGUUUUAGACAUUGGGAGUGUUACGAAUUUUGUACUUAUAAAACUAUAUAUAAAGCUUUUUACAUAUCUAUUUAAUUUUUGAUGUGGCCUAUUCAUUUUAUUAUAGGCAAAGCUUAAUUAUAAAGCUAAGACUAUAAUUUUCAUUUAUAUAUGCUUAAUAUGCGUGUAAUAUAUAUAUAUAUAUAUAUAUAUAUAUAUAUAUAUAUAUAUAUAUAUAUAUAUAUUAUCGUAUCAGCAUAAAAUAUGUAUUGAAAAACCUAUUAUUAUUAUUAUUAUAUAAAAACAAUAAACAAAACCGAAGAAAUGAACAAAAAAAGAACCCCUGGUCACGAGAAAUCCAAUGUUUCUUCAAAAAAGAAUAAAUUGAAGAACAACAAACUAGCGCUCAAAGCAUGGGAUAAGCAAUCUUUCGGAAAAACUAGAGACAGAGUGAGGAUAUGCGGAAAUAAAGUAAAUGAAAUUCUAUUCAAGCAAGACUUGAUCCAAAUGGAUCCCCUCAAUGCUGAGCUUGUUGAUGUCGGGUUUAGGUCUUCUUUUUGCUUGCCAGAAUCCAUCAACAGGGGUUUCAUAGGGAGGUACCUUUUCUAGAAAGUUAUCAAGUUAUAGUGGAAUUACUAACCGGACUGGCUUUCUCCAAGAGAGGGUUUUGUCUUUUCCGCUUCCUUGCACAAAGAAAAAAAAUAAUACCAACCGGUGUUAAAGUGGGGCUUUAGCCCCGGUUCGGGAUCCGGGACAACAGGCCCUUCCCGACUGGUGCUAAUGCCCGAACAUGCAGCAGUGGAGUCAAUAGAGCCAAUACCGCCCCAUGACAUCAUUGCCACCAUUCUAGCACUUGAUCAUUAAGGGCUAUCUUCUACAUAGUGGCUCCCCAAAAUGAACCCUGGAGAGGUUGAUGAGUGGGCCCUGGAGCUCUUCGCCCCUAGAGUUAUUUUAGUCCAUUUGACCAGGCAAGCGACAUGGCAUCUUCGUACCUAUUAGGCGUCGGACGCUUGAUCUGUUCUCUGUGGCUCGAGACGUUGGUUCAACACCCAAGUGUAGGGUAUUUUAAACGCAAACGGAAAAAUCUGCAAGCGCACGGAUACCGAUGUAGCUUUCACCCGGGAGUAUUCCAGAGUAUCAAUUUUCCACAGAGAACGUGAGUGUACUAAUUAAGAUUCAAGAUCGCCCAAGGGUAACUAUAUAAUUAGUUUUUGGUGGGAAGAGAGGAAGUUUCCUAAGAGUUCUCUAGUUGAUCUACUUCAAAGAUUAUUUAUUUUGGGACAUCAGAUCACUAACCACAGAAAGAGAUGAGAAGGGGGCUAGGAAGCUCUGACUACGGUCCUACAAACACCGAUCCGAACGAGAUGGAAUACGUCGACCGUUAGGGCUGUCACUACCCUAGGGCUACCACAACAAUCCACACGAUUGAGUGCAAUUCCAGGUAAUUGCAAGACUAAACACCACGUCUAAUCUAUUAAUUACUACUCUAGCGUUAUAAAGACUAGAGCACUUGAUGCAAGUGGGAAUCCAAUAAAUAACUUGAAUGUAAAUAAAAGUAAUUAAAGAACUCAGGAAUAAUGAAUUGAAGAACUUAGAGAACGAUGAAGAACAAACUAGUUGCUACAAAAGAACAAUGUUGAGGAAGAUCCGACAGAUCCGGCUCCUCCUCCGCUCUCCUCUUCUCUCUCUCUAUUUUCUAGAUUACAACUAGAACUAACUAGAACUAGAACUAGAAGAACUAGAACUAGAACUAGAUGAACUAGAACUAGAUGAACUAGAACUAGAGCUAGAUCAACAAGAGGUAGAACUAGAUGAACUAGAGGGAUCCUCUCUACUUGGACGAAGAAUUGAAACCCUAACUUUGAUUCUGUAGAAGAGGUAUGAUCUCCAGGGGCCAGGGGCCUUGCUUAUAUAGUCUUUUCAGAUGAAUCUGGUCCGUCGGAUCAAACCGACGUUGAUUCAACGGUUAUCCUUGAUCCUUUAGGUCGGUGGAGCGUAAUCCACGAAACAGGUCCGAAUUGGACACUGUAGCUGGGCGGGCACCCAAGGGAGUAGGGCAGGCGCCCUGUCCCUGAGCCCUCUCGGCUUCCCGUUCGUUCCCGUGGCUUCUAGAGUCUUCUAGAUGAUAUAAAAUUGCGCGGCACGUUAAUAUCUCUAUGUAAACCCGACGUGUGGGCCUUUCCUCUGUAUUUCCUGAUAACCCCUUGCAGAAAUAGACAAACACCAAAACUCGUGGAAUUCUGUCAGAUAAAACCCUAAGUCUAGGUGUUGGUUGCAUAUAAGUCCUUUUCCAUGAUUAGUUGAUGGUUAAAUGUGAGCAUUAAGGACCGUCAACAAGCUCCCCCAAGCUUAACCUUUGCUCAUCCCUGAGCAAAGAUGAACUCAAGAGUUUCUGCAGUGGUUUCAUACCUUAAAGGUACACAUGCGUUCAAACAAGAUGUCAUCUCUGGGUUAGGGUAAACUGUUAAGAUUUAAACUUACUCAUUUUUCCUUCCACCAUGCGGCUUGUAACCGUCACUUGUGUCUUGAGCAGUUAAAAGAUAGAACGGUCUAGACAAGCACCAUGUCUCUUGUUCUUCGAUUAACUAUAGCUCUGUUGUUUUUGCAGAUUUUCAAAUAAAACUCAGAGAUUCCUUGUAUGACUCUCUCUAGUCUCUCUUUUGUGGUAUUUCUAGAUCCUUACCAAAGCAGUAAUGGUGUAUGCCUUCUCUCAAAAUAUGUGGUAUUUUUGGUAUGAGGCAUAGUGGCAUUGCCUUCUCUCUCACCCUACUCUAAUAAGGUCUUGAUAUCUGGAGCUCAUAGGUGGGAGACAGCUAAUACAUACUUACAAGACAUUUAUUGCAUAGUCAAACCAUGGAUACAAAAGAACAAGUCAAUAAGUGAAAUCAAGAUGUGCAUGUGUGGUGAAUGAAUGGUGUGUGGUGAUGAUGGUGAUAACAAUGGUGAAAGUCUAAUUCUACUUGUGCUCUUUUGAGGGGAUACAUACCUUUCUUGCUCUUUUGAAACUUUUUGAGGAGAAUGAGAUGCUCUAUAUUUUCUUUUCUUUCCUUUCUCUCAGGUGGGUAUCUUGUACCCCCAAUUCUACUGUCGGACACUUGUCCAUUUUUACCUCUCGUCUCACUUUUUCUUUUCUUUCGAGGUUCCGGGCACUUGCCCCUUUUUAUUUCCUCGUAUCUUCUUCUCUCUUUUUUUUAGAGCACUCACCUCUUGAAAUAAUGUAGCAAGUGGUAGUAACCGAAAUAACUUGAGCAUUUAUUUCGUAGGAGUAGAAUAUUUUUGGGUGGUUCUGGAGAUGGAAAUGGGUGGAUAUAUGUGGAUGCGUACUUCCGGAGUAGAAGCAGCAUGUGUGAGUGAACGUGCAAGUGAAUCUUGAUUUAACCACAUGACAAGCUCCUAAGGGUCUACACAGCUUGACCACACUCAAUGCUCAUAAGCAGUAAAAAGUAAAUAUGUGGCUCAAAGUCUAGCAAGCAUGUAUAUAUGGCUGUGGUAGGAAUUUGAACUCUCAUCAUACAGGAACUCAUCAUGUGAUAUUUUAAAGAUUUUCAAAGAUAAAAUUCUCUAGAAUUCUAGCAUCUCUAUGAAUAGAUAAACAGUAGCUCAACCUUCCCAUAUCAUAUCCAUUAACAACUUAGACUUUAGAUCAAGUACUCUUCCCACAAGUUCAGGUUUAGAGCAAAUCUUAAUUAAUAACAGUCAUGCCUAAACUUGAGAGAGAUUUUAAUUUUGAGAACUAGUCAUGGCAGAGCAACUAUUCAUCAUUUCCAUGUGAGAGCUUAUCAUCAGGGUUCAUAGCAAACUUUAUUUAUUUAUUUAUUUAUUUAGCAAACUAAGUAAAGAUAUAUAUAAGCACAAAAUCUUUAUUUGGGUUUUUAUGAUUAUACAACUUUUUAUUAUUUAAGUAAAGUAAAAACAUGAGUAGAACACUUAGCUGGAUAAAUGGGGGUGCUCUUCCCCAAGCUGGAUCUUGACGUAAUUUCUUCUGAUGUAGCUAGCAGGUGGCGGAGGUGUAUUUGAAUGUCGGCAGCACCCUGACAGCGAUUAGGAUGUCCUCCGUCUGCUAGUCUUCUUUGAUCCUUGAAUUCUGUGGAGCUCAAAUAGACAACAAAGCUUUGUGGAAAUGGUUAAGUGUUAGCAUAAAUAUCUAGCCUUUAUCAUGUUGAGCCUCCUCAAUAAAUGUUACUUUCUUUAGUAAGAUCAUAAAUUUAUUUUUAUAUUUUUAUUUUUAUAGGACAGGAAUAUAUUUAUUUCAUUUUUACGCCACCACAGUGAAUGUACUUAUGGGUUUUAUGCCAUGAGCAUACUCACAUGGGGCUUACUAUUUUUAACAUUUUUAUUUUCUUUUCAAGAUGAUAUGAACCUGAUUAGGUAAGCAAACUAUUUUCAAUAAUUGAAAGGAAAAAGAUAACUACCAAGUUUACCUCUUGGCAAGGCGUUCGGUGUUUUUAAGUCCUUCGAACAGGACUCUCCGUUUCCUCAGUCAUCUUGGGAUUCGCUCGUCCUGGGAUUCGCUGGAUGGCGUAGUCGGUGGUUCUGGCGACGCCUUCUCUUCGUGUAUAACUAUCUUCUCUCUCCACACCUGACUCGGUGCUACGGUCUCCUCAGGACAGUUCUGUUCAAGUUGUAUUGUCUUCAGACCUUACUACUUCUCCUUCGUAGUCUGCCCAUCCGUCCUUAAUGAUUUGCCUCCUCUGGUUGCGGUUGCGUCAUCUUCUUCUUGUCCUGACCUGCUUAGAGUCUUCAAUUAUAUAGUUAGGAUCAGUAAAAUAGCGGCGUACCUUCUCAGAGGGGAAGUGCAUGUGGACUUCUCCGGUUCCAAUGUAGAUGAUUGCUUUAACGGUGCUGAGGAACGGUCUCCCAAGGAUGAUGGAUGGAUCGUACUCGUCUUCUCCCCUGUCAAUAACCUUCAACCUUUUGGAAUGUUUGAUCUGCCAUCUGGAGCUGAAUGUAUGUCGGUUUUAGGGGCAUGGUUCCGAACAGUAGCUGAUAGGUGACUAGGUCGUCCUUUUUUGGUCAGGAACCCUGACUUCAGUCGAUGGUCUUGACCUCAUUGAACUACAGUGACCAUCUUAGCUGACUUGGUCCACAUUUGCUUGUUCCUGUUCCUCCUGUUGGUCCUCUUCCUUGGUUCAUGUCGGGAUUGCUUUGAGAUUUGUGUAGUCUUGUUCUUGAAGGAAAACAUCUCCUUCCUUCCCUUUAUGUAGAAACUUAUAUUGGUAGCACUAGCGUAGAUGACAGCUCCCGAAGUGUUCAGGAAUGGCCUCCAUAGGAUGAUGGGUGUCGUCUCAUCGGUACCAGUCUCUAUCACCACGAAGUCUUGCUGGGGCGUACAAGGUAUCAACUCGGACGCAGAGGUUCUCAAUAUUCCCUUUUGGAAACUUAGCGUACGAUCUGCAAGCUGCAAACACAUGGCUGUUUCUAAUAAAGGAUGUGUAAAGAAUUUUUCAUAGAGUACCCUGGGUAUAACGUUGACGCUAGAGCCAAAGUCGCAGAGUGCUUCUGGGAAGUUCACCAUGCCGAUGGAGAUCGGGAUGACGGUGCGUCCUGGAUCGCCUCUUGACCGGAAGAAGGUCAGUAAUUACUUCCACAAUGAGGUUACUCCAGUAGUUACGUCCUCAAGCAUCUCAGGGCAGUGAUUGCCUAAGUGUCAAGUAUCUCUAGUGUGUUUGUGCUCGUAGAUCUAGGUUCUUCACUUGGUGGAGUCUAGGAGUUGUAAAAGUCCUUCAUAUUUUGCUCGAAGUGUACUUGCUCAUAGAGACAAGGCAGAGAUCAAGUGCAUGGGCCCUAUUGGUGGAAAAACACCAACAGAACCAAAUGUGUAUUUGUUCUCUCUAACCUUAAGCAUAGUGAGCAAGACAAAGUUGAUGGAUAAGAAGAUCACGAGUGUAACAUUUAAAGCAUUUGUCAGAUCAGAUCGCUCAACCUAAUGGAAAGAUAAUCUAUCUAUACAUAUGUUUUGUUUAUAUCUUCCAGAGAUUGAAUGUGCAACAUUUUAGCUUAUAUGAUUAGGAGUGUGGGAUCACAAAGGUGGAAGGACUAAACAUAUUGAAUCGACUGGGUUGGUUAAUCUAGAGUUGUAAAUCAUACAUGUGUGUCUCUUUUAUUCAUGUGAACGCCAGAACCAAUGAGAAGCUUAUAAAAAGUGAUAGUCAAGUACCUUAAGAUGUUACCUUACUUGAAGAGUGAUGGUACAGUAUCACUUAUGGAAGCUUUCGUUUCUUAGCGGUUGUGCAUCAUGUUCGUGGCACCUUCCAUGGAUCAUCUCUUGUGAGCUAUGACUUCCUUGUGUAAAUUGUUAACCUUCAUGUGUCUCUCUCUUUGUCUCCAAUGUGGGUUUAUCUCAGGACUUCCCAGGUCGAUAUUGAAAGUUUUCCUGCAGGGGUUAGUCCAAUAAAAUAUCCCAUAUCUACUAUAGAAUACUAUGGAGUCAAAAAUCAACCUAGACACCAUGUCUAAUUUGAUUUAGGAGGGCAUUUUAACCGAAGCACCAUGCUUAAUUUAGAGAUAACUGAAACUACUCCAAACCUAGACAUAUACUAAAGCAAAUAAAGGUAGCAUGAGAGCAUUUAUAGAGAUCUACUCAAGUGGAGAUGAAGCAGUGUGAUUAGUAUUUAACAAAUUGAGCAUGUCUCAAAGGUAGGGACAACCAACAUAGCAACAUGGCAAAGGAUGUUUUUAUGUAAAGUACUCCCCCAAGCUUGAAUUUUGCAAAAUUCAAGUUUGGAUGAAUUUAAUUCAAUGUUGUAUGAUGAUUGGUUGGACAUACCUUGUGCUUGUCAUUCAUCCGAUCUUCUUGCUCCAAUCCUGGAAAGGUUAGUGACAAGAAUACCCGAAGGAAUAUUUUUUAGAAUUAUCCUUAUAUGCUCAGCACACAAGGUAAUGUUGCAAAUAAUUAAAAGCUCAUGUCACGAUCUGAUUAGUGCUUAUUUUAGGACACUAAGCUUGUCAUUGGGAAACCAUCAAUUUACGUCAGCGAUGUGGUUUCCCCUCCAACGCUGACCUACAUCAAGAUCAACUCAACGAGAUAUACAAUAUUUAUUAUAGACAUAUGCAUCGACAACCGCCCUUUUAAGGUUUUCAUAAAUAGAAAGGUAGAGGGGGUUGGAGAUCUCGAAUGUGGUGAUGUUGGAGAGACCAAAAGAUUGGGAAGAUGUUGCAUAUGAGCAUGGAGUAAAUGAAGUGGCUCUUAAAUAAAUUCCAUGCUCAUUAAUGCUUGGAGUGAAAUCCAUGUGGUGUGGUGAAAAUGGUAAGGUGAGUGUGGUAAAAAAGGAAAAGAAAAAGGAUACACGGACGACUUGGUUUCAAACUAGCACAGCUACCCUUCCCCAGCAACGGCGCCAGAAAACUUGUUGCGUAUUUUAAACGCAAAUAGAUAAAUCCGCAAGCACACGGAUACCGACGUAGCUUUCACCCGGGAGUAUUUCAGAGUAUCGAUUUUCGACAGGGAACGUGAGUGUACUAAUUAAGAUUCAAGAUCGCCCAAGGAUAACUAUAUAAUUAUUUUUUGGUGGAAAGAGAGGAAGUUUCCUAAGAGUUCUCUAGUUGAUCUAAGAAUCAAGAAUUAAUUCAAAGAUUAUUUAUUUCGGGACAUCAGAACACUAACCACAGAAAGAGAUGAGAAGGGGGCUAGGAAGCUCUCACUACGGUCCUACAAACACCGAUCCGAACGAGGUGGAAUACGUCGACCGUUAGGGCUGUCACUACCCUAGGGCUACCACAACAAUCCGCAGGAUUGGGUGCAAUUCCAGGUAAUUGCAAGACUAAACACCAGGUCUAAUCUAUUAAUUACUACUCUAGCGUUAUAAAGACUAGAGCACUUGAUGCAAGCGGGAAUCCAAUAAAUAACUUAAAUGUAAAUAAAAGUAAUUAUAGAACUCAGGAAUUUUGAAUUGAAGAACUUGGAGAACGAUGAAGAACGAACCAGUUGCUGCAAAAGAACAAUGUUGAGGAAGAUCCGACAGAUCCGGCUCCUCCUCCGCUCUCCUCUUCUCUCUCCCUAUUUUCUAGAUUACAACUAGAACUAGAAGAACUAGAACUAGAACUAGAACUAGAACUUGAUGAACUAGAGGUAGAACUAGAUGAACUAGCGGGAUCCUCUCUACUUGGAUGAAGAAUUGAAACCCUAACUUUGAUUCUGUAGAAGAGGAAUGAUCUCUAGGGGCUAGGGGGCCUUGCUUAUAUAGUCUUUUCAGAUGAAUCUGGGUCGUUGGAUCAAACCGACAUUGAUUGAACAGUUAUCCUUGAUCCUUUAGGUCAGUAGAGCGUAAUCCGCGAAACGGGUCCGAAUUGGACACUGUAGCUGGGCGGGUGCCCAAGGGAGUAGGGCGGGCGCCCUGUCUCUGAGCCCUCUCGGCUUCCCGUUCGUUCCUGUGGCUUCUGGAGUCUUCUAGAUGAUAGAAAAUUAUGCGGCACGUUAAUAUCUCUAUGUAAACCCGACGUGUGGGCCUUUCCUCCGUAUUUCCUAAUACCCCCCUGCAGAAAUAGACAAACACCAAAACUCGUGGAAUUCUGUCAGAUAAAACCCUAAGUCUAGGUGUUGGUUGCAUAUAAGUCCUUUUCCAUGAUUAGUUGAUGGUUAAAUGUGAGCAUUAAGGACCGUCAACACCAAGCACUAGUCUGGGCAUGCACUAGGUUAGAGUAAAUCUCAGACUACAAUCACUCGAUAGUCCGGGGUCUUGGUGAUCCCCCCAGCCAUAAGCAGUUGUUGACACUUCUAACGUCGUUACCAAAAGUAGAUUAACUAAUCUUGAUAACGGUGCCAAAAAUGGUAACUACUUCUCACGCCACUUAAGCCAAGUUGUCAUCCCCAGCAUGACAUAGAGAUGCGGUAUUCAAAUAUGCAAAUGCUCCUCUAACAACUAUAUGAAUGUGUAUCCGCAAGCGCACAGAUAAUACCGAUGAAGCAUUUUAACCAGGAAGUAUUCUAGGUAUCGUUAUUUAUAUUUUAACGACUUGAAAGGGAAUGCUAAGGAAUAAAUGAGGAAUAUGAGUAUCAUUGCAUGUGUAAUGAUAAGCUUCCAUCUAUCUCUCUCAAUACAUAGUAAAUGUCACAUAAAAUAUAGAUAAUAAAUGAAUAGUGACCAAAGAUAAAUACACUAAUGAGCAUAAACAACCACAUAAAAUAAUGAUAAGCACAUCAACAGAUAUUCUAAAAAGUCAUUAGCAUGGAAUUAGGACGAACUACAAGAAUAUUUCCUAAGUCAUUCUAACUAGCAUAUUGUGAUUAGUGCAACUAUACAUGGCAAUCAUGGCUAGAUAAAAGGUUCAUUCAUGUGUAGUGGGUAUUACUAAGGAAGAUGAAGAACAGAGUAAUCACUUCCCCGUAAAAGUACUGCUCUGCCUGCCCUAUAAACGGGGGGAGGACUACAGAGGAUUCAAUAGGACUGUCACUCCUGCGAUGUACCUUGCGUUCCGGAAUAUAGGGUCCAACCACAGAUAAAUACGGUAUAGGCACCAUGCCUACACAAUAUCUAUCAUUUACCCAUGGUACCAAUGGGCAAGCCAUUAUUGGAUAAACUUUAUACGAUCCUAAACAUGGAUAAAACUUAGAACUAACUUAGCCAAGUAUAUAAGCAUAAUAAACUAAGAACAAUAUAAUUAAUAACAUAAGCAAAUAGAAUAAAGUCAUAAUCAAUAUAAUGAAAUAGACCAAAGUCAUAUUCAUAAUAAUGAAGAAUAAUGAUGAACAAUGAAGAACUGGAGCAAGAAUUACCAAGAAUCCCCUUGACAGAUCCGGAAACCAAACGAAGAUUGACUCCUUCUAGUUCUAAUAUGUAGCUAUGCUAAACUAGUAAUCUAGCUGAUGUGGUGGCUCUAGGGCUUGACCAGAGGCUUCUCCUCUUGAGAUGAAUAUGAAUUAUGAAUUGUUGGCUCUCUCCAGGGGCAGGGGCCUUUCUUAUAUAGCCUCCUCAAAUGAACAUCGAUCGUCAGAUCAAACCGACCUUAAUUGUGUCGUUUAGAUUGACCCUCAAGGUCGGUGGAGCAAGAUCCGCGACGGGGAGCUUGAUUGGCUAAGGGGCCAGGGCGGCCGCCCCACCCCCUUGGGCAGGCACCCUAGGGUUGGCGCCCCUCGGCUUCCCGCUUCUUCCCACCUCUUUUAGAGUCUUCUAGAUUGUAGAAAAUUACACGGUUGGUUAUUAUCUCUAUGUAAUCAUGGCAUGUGGGCCUUUUCUCCAUAUUUCAUGAUAACCCUUUGAAGAAACAGACUUUCAGCAAAACUCGUGAAAUUCUGCCAGUAUAAACCCUUAUUCUAGCUAUUAGCUGCAUAUAGAUCCUUUUCCAUGAUUAGUUGACGGUUAAAAUUGAUACUUGAGGACCGUCAACAACUCCCCCAAGCUUACCUUUUGCUCGUCCCCGAGCAAACAUAAACUCAGUGGUGGAUCAGGAGUUGCUGUAAUGCUUUCACGCCUUAAAGGUACACAUGCUUUCAAAUAAGAUCUCAUCUCUGAGUUAGAACAAACAAUUAAGAUUUAAAACUUACUCAUUUUACCUUUCACCAUGGGGCUUGUAACCAUCACCUGUGUCUUGAGCAGUUGAAGGAUAGAACAGUCAAGUCAAGUGCCAUGUUUCUUGCUCUUUGAUCAACUAUAAUUCUAGAGUUUUUGCAGAUUUUCAAAUAAAACUCAGAGAUUCCUUGUAUGACUCUCUCAAUUCUCUCUUUUGUGGUAUUUCUGGAUCCUCACCAAGGCGUUGAUGGUGUAUGCCUUUCUCUCAAGAUAUAUGGUAUUUAUGGUAGAUUGCCUUCUCUCUCACCCUACUUCUAAUAAGGCUUUUGCUAUUUGGAGCUCAUAGGUGGGAGAUAGACUAUACAUAUUUACAAGACAUUUAUUGCAUAGUCCAACUGCGGAUCCAUAGGAACAAGUCAUAAAGUCAAAUCAAAAUAUGCAUGUGUGGCGAAUGAAUGGUGAUGAUGGUGGUAGUGAUGAAAUAGUGGUGAAAGUUUUCUUUUGCUCUUCUGAAGGAUACAUACCUUUCUUGCACUUGUAGCUUUCCGAAGGAACUGAGAUGCUUGAUUAUUUAUUUAUUUUUCACUUAGGUGGGUCUCUUAUACCCCUAAUUCUAUUGUCGGACACUUCUCCAUUUUUACACUUUUUCUUUUCCGAGGAUGGCGGACACUUGCCCCUUUUUAUUUCCUCGUCUUUCCCUCUUUUUUUCCGAGCACUCAUCCUUCUUGAGCAACAAAGCAAGUGGUAAUAACAAAUAAGACUUUAUUUCAUAGGGAAUUACUGAAAUAUUGUAACACCCUAAAAUUUACUCCUUUUGAAAUAUAGAUAAAAUUAUUUAUUUUUUUAUUUUUGUGCUCAUGAAAAAAUAGGAAAAAUAACAUUUUUAGUAAAUUAAAAUAUAUCAUAAGGCUUAGCAAUAUUUUUGUGCAUACAUGCUAGUGCAUAAGAUUUGAUGUAAUGUUUGCUUAUUGCUCCUUUGUGUGUUGACAGUGAGUGAAGUAUUAGAAUACGUUAGUAGGUCGAUAUUUCUACAAUCAAAUUCCUUGUCUCUCAGAUCAAGAUUUCAUUCAGAGUCUCUUAGAAAUCUUUUCUUUCAAACCUAAGUCACUCCUUUCAGUUUCUUGUCCAUCAAGCAAUCUCUACAAACUUUUCGGAAAAUUUUUUGGUCUUUUCCAUGAGCAGAAUCUAAUUUUUAGAUGCUCCAUAUUAUCUUAUCAUGCGCUCCAAAUACUUUAUUUGGAUUCCUCAUGUUCUAUAAUAUCUCUGAGAAUUUUUUCCAAAUUUUUGGAGCUUUCAGAGUAUUUUUUGUGGCUUAACUACUAAUUCUGGACUUUUCUAGAAUUAUUUUAUCCAUGAAAAUAAUUAAUUCCGAAAAUAAUAAACCUCUUACUAUUUUUCCAACGUCAAAGCCCAUUUGCAAUAAUGAUAAUAAAUCCCAAAGACCAUGUAUUUAUUUACUAAUGGGCUUUAAUUAGGCCUAUUAGUAAAGAUGAAGGUUGCAAAUCAAUUAGUACCAUAUCGCUAGUUGACGUGGAGGUGUGAAGUUUCUCUCCAUAUAUAUAUAUAUGUACCAACCCUUAGGCAAAGCACACCAAAAACUACAUAUGGGAAGCCUCUAGUUUGGGAAUUCCUAAGGUAGUAAAAUUAUAUUUUCUUCUCCUCUCUAUAUCGCCAAUGGCCAAUCCCGAUGACUACUAUCUCCGACAAGCGAUCGUUUUGCAGCUCUGAAGUUUACCUGGCCUGCCUCCGUCCGUCUCCAGCCAGGUCAUGCAAAAGUCAGAUCUUGAUCUUGGCUAUUCCGUGCAUGCUAUUUGUCAAUGCUCAAUCUCCGUUAGGGCUACUUUGGCAGCAGCGGAUCCCGAAGGGUUCCUCGCGCCUUCCCCGGGCCGAGAAAGCAUGCGCCAAUUUCUCCCAAGCCAAUCUGCGGUGCUCUUUGGAAGCCGAUCCACGCCACACAGACCCGCUUCCCUUCGUUUUCCAUGCGAAAGAAAUCCACGAGCCAGGACACCGGGAGCAUUUCCCCGAUCAGCCGCGCUCGCGCAACUGCACUGCUGCAGCAGUUGAGACACGCCGACAGCAGUUAGGAACUCCCCUGACAGCACUCUGCCAAAUAACAGCAGAGAAAUUCUCCCAUACGUGGACACCUCCCCCGAAGUGUAUGCGGGAAUUAGAAAUCCAAAAAAAUCCACGUCGGGGGCAAACUUACCGGGGCUAAUUUGCUGCUGCUGCCAAAGUAGCCCUUACCGUGAAUCUGCAAGCCACCGAAAAUCCUAUGAAGGUACAUGUCCUAGGUACCAGACCUGAAUUUUGCUCUCUAACUUGCCCAGAUUGUCUUCUAGUCAUCACGUGCCUUUGAUUAACCUUUUCUCAACAAGAAAACUAGCUGCACCUAUGCGUGACCUUGCUGCUGAGCUGCUGGACUGCUCCCAAAACUCCAGAACCCGCCAUCAACUUCCUGGUGUCGAGAGUCAUCUAAUGCUUAGGACAAAAUCUACCAUGGUCAUCAUUCGUUAUACACUAAGGAUUCUAUUGUUUCAUUAUCUUAGAUCCAUUCAAGUUACGUUGAGAACAUAGUGACAUAAUUUAUGUGUUAAUUGGCGUUGAUCGUGUGGUACGUUAGUAAAUUUUAUAAAUAACAUAUUUAUUUUAAUUAAUAUUUCUGUGCAAUUGGCUUUCAAAUUAUAAGAAUAUAAGCUUAACGUCUGUCUUCUACAUGUCAAAUGUUAUUUUGAUAAAAGGCAAUAUUAAUAUGUUUUAAAUUUGUAAUCCACUUUGUCUAAACACCUUUCAUAUACAGAAUUCGAAUUGGAUUAGAUGUUCUCACCUGUUAUUUAUUUUAUAAAAUAGAUGACUAACUUAUGAUUAGUUCUAACUCGGUUUUAUAUUAAAAUAAAUUAAGCUUGUAGUUGUUUCUUUUGUAUAUAAAAAUAUUUUGAUAGUCGACUAUUUAUAAUGAUAGUUCUAUUAUUAGCGUUACUUGUUACCUUGUAACAUUAGCUAUCUAUUAGUACGCUCUUUUACUCUGUGUGGUUGUUGGGCAUUCUUAACGUCAUUACCAAAAGUAGACUUAGUUUUCUAUUUCUGAUAACGGCACCAAAAAAUGUCAAACCUAUCUUUCAUGCCACUUAAGCCAAGUUGUCAUCCCCAGCAUGACAUGAGAGACGCGGUAUUGAAAUAUGUAAUUGCUCUUCUGAAUAAAUAAUAAAUGAGAUAUGCAAGCGCACAGAUUAAUACCGAUGUAGCAUUUUAACCGGGAAGUAUUCCAGGUAUCGUUAUUUAUAUUUUUACCACUGGGAAGGGAUUACUAACAUCAUUGUUGAUUAUGGAAUGAAAUAUGGAACUGAGUAUCUAUCAUUGCAUGUGUAAUAGAGAGCAUUCAUCUAUCUCUUGCAUACAGGGAUAAAUGUCACAUAAAAUAUAGAUAAAGUAUGAAUGGUGACAAAGAUAACUAAUCUGAUCAGCAUAACUAGCCACAUAUAAUAAUGAUAAGCACCUCAACAGAUAUUCUAGCAAGUCAUUAGCAUGGGAUUAGGAUGAACUACAAGAAUAUUUCCUAAGUUAUUCUUAACUAUAAAGUCUAGCAUAUCAUAGUUAGCGCAAUUAUACUUGGCAAUCAUUGCGAGGAAGAACUACGCCCAUGCAUAGUGAUAUUAUCAAGGAAGAUGAGAAACAUAGCAAUCACUCCCUGUAAUAAUAUUGCUCUGCCUGCCCUAUACACAGGAGGGGGACUAUAUAAGAAUCAAUAGAGCUGUCACCACCACGAACUACCCCGCGAUCCGGCAUAUAGGGUACAAUCGCAGAUAGAUACGGUAUAGGCAGCACGCCUACACAAUAUCUAUCAUCUACCCAUGGAUCCGAUGGAUAAACGCUAUACGAUCCUGAACAUGUAUAUAAUUCCAAUCUAACUAAGCCAAGCAUAUAACUAUGAUAAACUAAGAACGAUAUAAUUGCUAAUAUAAACAAGUAGAGCAAAGUCAUAAUCAAUAUAUUGAAAUAGAACAAAGUUGUAUUCAUAAUAUUGAAGAACAAUGAUGAACAAAUGAAGAACAGUAGAGGAAUUACCAAGAAUCCUCUUGACAGAUCCGGAAACCAAUCGAAGAUUGACUCCUUCUAGUUCUAACUUCUAAUCCUAUGUAGCUAUGCUAAACUAGAUCUAGUUGAUGUGGUGGCUCUAGGGCUUGAUCAGAGACUCUCCUCCUGAUGAAUGAAUUAGGGUUUGAGGAAUGAGAAUGAGUCCUCCAGGGGCCUAGGGCCCUGCUUACAUAGCUCCUCCAAAUGAAUAUGGGCCGUCGGAUCAAACCGACCUUAAUCGCACGGUUUUCCUUAAUCCUUUAGGUCAGUGGAGCAUUAUCCGCAAGACGGAGCAUGAUUCGCUGAGAGCCUUGGGCGAGCGCCCAAGGGGGGAGGGAGGGCGCCCAACCACCGAGCCCACUCGGCCUCCCGCUCGUUCCCUUGGCUUCUGGACUCGUCUAGAUGUUGGAUAAUUGCGGUGCUCAUUAAUAUUUGUAUGUAAACCCGAUGUGUGGAUCUUUUCUCCAUAUUCUCUGAUAACCCCCUACAGAAAUAGACAAACACCAAAACUCGUGGAAUUCUGUCAGAUAAAACCCUAAAUCUGGGUGUUGGUCGCAUUUUGAUCCUUUUUUUUAUUUAUUUGAUGAUUAUAUUUGAUACUUAAGGACUGUCAACAAACUCUCCCAAGCUUACCUCUUGCUCAUCCCUGAGCAAGAAUAGUCUCAGUUGCUGUAAUGCCUUAAAAUGUUGAUUGUACACAUGCUUUCAAAUGAGGUCUCAUCUCUGAGAAAAACUUACUCAUUUUACCUUUCACCAUGGGGCUUGCAACCAUCACUUAUGUCUUGAGCAGUUAAAAGAUAGAACAGUCUAGCCAAGCGCCAUGUCUCUUAUUCUUGAUCAGCUAUAGCUCUAGAGUUUUUGCAGUUUUUCAAAUAAAACUCAGAGAUUCCAUUGUAUGAUUCUCUCAGAUCUCUCUUUUAUGGUAUUUCUAGAUCCUUGCCAAGGUAGUGAUGGUAUAUGCUUUUUCACAAAGUAUGUGGUAUUUGUAGUAUAAGGCAUAGUGACAUUGCCUUGGUAAGGAUCCAGAAAUACCACAAAAGAGAGACUAGAGAGAGUCAUACAAGGAAUCUCUGAGUUUUAUUUGAAAAUCUACAAAAACUCCAGAGCUAUAGUUAAUCGAAUAACAAGAGACAUGGCGCUUGACUCGACCAUUCUAUCUUUUAACUGCUCAAGACACAGGUGAUGGUUGCAAGCCCCAUGGUGGAAGGUAAAAUGAGUAAAUUUAAAUCUUAAAAGUUUACCCUAACCUAGAGAUGAGAUCUUGUUUGAACGCAUGUGUACCUUUAAGGCAUAAAAUCACUGUAGAAACUCUUGAGUUCAUCUUUGCUCAGUGACGAGCAAAGGUUAAGCUUGGGGGAGCUUGUUGACGGUCCUUAAUGCUCACAUUUAACUGUCAACUACUCAUGGAAAAGGAUCCAAAUGCAACUGACACCUAGACUUAGGGUUUUAUCUGACAGAAUUCCACGAGUUUUGGUGUUUGUCUAUUUCUACAGGGGGUUAUCAGGAAAUACGGAGGAAAGGCCCACACGUCGGGUUUACAUAGAAAUAUUAACGUGCCGCGUAAUUUUCUAUCAUCUAGAAGACUCUAGAAGCCAUAGAAACGAACGGGAAGCCGAGAGGGCUCAGGGACAGGGCGCCCGCCCAGCUACAGUGUCCAAUUUGGACCCGUUUUGCGGAUCACGCUCCACCGACCUAAAGGAUCAAGGAAAACCGUGCGAUUAAUGUUGGUUUGAUCCGACGGUCCAGAUUCAUCUGAAAAGACUAUAUAAGCAAGGCCCCCUGGCCCCUAGAGAUCAUACCUCUUCUACAGAAUCAAAGUUAGGGUUUCAAUUCUUCAUCCAAGUAGAGAGGAUCCCUCUAGUUCCUCUAGUUCCAGUUCUAGUUCCUCUAGUUCUAGUUCUAGUUAGUUCUAGUUGUAAUCUAAAAAAUAGGGAGAAAGAAGAGGAGAGCGGAGGAGGAGCCGGAUCUGUCGGAUCUUCCUCAACAUUAUACUUUUGCAGCAACUGGUUCGUUCUUCAUCGUUCUCCAAGUUCUUCAAUUCAUAAUUCUUGAGUUCUUUAAUUACAUUUAUUUACAUUCAAGUUAUUUAUUGGAUUCCCGCUUGCAUCAAGUGCUCUAGUCUUUAUAACGCUAGAGUAGUAAUUAAUAGAUUAGACGUGGUGUUUAGUCUUGCAAUUACCUGGAAUUGCACCCGAUCCUGCGGAUUGUUGUGGUAGCCCUAGGGUAGUGACAGCCCUAACGGUCGACGUAUUCCACCUCGUUCGGAUCGGUGUUUGUAGGACCGUAGUGAGAGCUUCCUAGCCCCCUUCUCAUCUCUUUCUGUGGUUAGUGUUCUGAUGUCCCGAAAUAAAUAAUCUUUGAAGUAAUUCUUGAUUCUUAGAUCAACUAGAGAACUCUUAGGAAACUUCCUCUCUUCCCACCAAAAACUAAUUAUAUAGUUAUCCUUGGGCGAUCUUGAAUCUUAAUUAGUACACUCACGUUCCCUGUCGAAAAUCGAUACUCUGAAAUACUCCCGGGUGAAAGCUACGUCGGUAUCCGUGUGCUUGCGGAUUUAUCUAUUUGCGUUUAAAAUACGCAACAAGUUUUCUGGCGCCGUUGCUGGGGAAGGGUAGCUGUGCUAGUUUCAAACCAAGUCAUCCGUGUAUCCUUUUUCUUUUCCUUUUUUACCACACUCACCUUACCAUUUUCACCACACCACAUGGAUUUCACUCCAAGCAUUAAUGAGCAUGGAAUUUAUUUAAGAGCCACUUCAUUUACUCCAUGCUCAUAUGCAACAUCUUCCCAAUCUUUUGGUCUCUCCAACAUCACCACAUUCGAGAUCUCCAACCCCCUCUACCUUUCUAUUUAUGAAAACCUUAAAAGGGCGGUUGUCGAUGCAUAUGUCUAUAAUAAAUAUUGCAUAUCUCGUUGAGUUGAUCUUGAUAUAGGUCAGCGUUGGAGGGGAAACCACAUCGCUGACGUAAAUUGAUGGUUUCCCAAGGACAAGCCUAGUGUCCUAAAAUAAGCACUGAUCAGAUCGUAAUAUGAGCUUUUAAUUAUUUGCAACAUUACCUUGUGUGUUGAGCAUAUAAGGAUAAUUGUAAAAAAAUUCCUUCGGGUAUUCUUGUCACUAACCUUUCCAGGAUUGGAGCAAGAAGAUCAGAUGAAUGACAAGCACAAGGUAUGUCCAACCAAUCAUCAUACAACAUUGAAUUAAAUUCAUCCAAACUUGAAUUUUGCAAAAUUCAAGCUUGGGGAGUACUUUACAUAAAAAUAUCCUUUGCCAUGUUGCUAUGUUGGUUGUUCCUACCUUUGAGACAUGCUCUAUUUGUUAAAUACUAAUCAUACUACUUCAUCUCCACUUGAGUAGAACUCUAUAAAUGCUCUCAUGCUACCUUUAUUUUCUUUAGUAUAUGUCUAGGUUUGGAGUAGUUUCAUUUAUCUCUUAAUUAAGCACGGUGCUUAGUUAGGAAUGUUGAUCUUACUUCCAAGGGAUUUUAAAUUAAACAUGGUGCUUAGGUUAAAAUGCCAUCCUAAAUCAAAUUAGACAUGGUGUUUAGGUUGAUUUUUGAGCCGAUAGUAUGCUAUAGUAGAUAUUGGAUAUUUUGUUGGACUAACCCCUGCAGGAAAACUUUCAAUAUCGACAUGGCAAGUCUUGAGUUAAACUCACAUUGGAGACAAAGAGAGAGACGCAUGAAGGUUAACAAUUUACACAAGGAAGGCAUAGCUCACAAGAGAUGAUCCAUGGAGGGUGCCACAAACACAAUGCACAACCGCUAAGAAAGGAAAGCUUCCACAAGAUGCUACUGUACCAUCACUCUUCAAGUAAGGUAACAUCUUAAGGUACUUGACUAUCACUUUUUAUAAGCUUCUCCUUGAUUCUGGCAUUCACAUGGAUAAAAGAGACAAACAUGUAUGAUUUACAACUCUAGAUUAACCAUCCCAAUCGAUUCAAUAUGUUUAGUCCUUCCACCGUUGUGAUCCCACACUCCUAAUCAUAUGAGCUAAAAUGUUGCACACGUAAUCUUUAGAAGAUAUAUAAAAAAGUAUAGAUAGAUUAUCUUUCCAUUAGGUUGAGCGAUCUGAUCUGACAAAUAUCUUAAAUGCUACACUCAUGAUCUUAUUAUCCAUCAACUUUGUCUUGCUCACUAUGCUUAAGGUUAGAGAAGAACAAAUACACUUUUGGUUCUGUUGGUGUUUUCCACCAACAGGGCCCAUGCACUUGAUCUCUGCCUUGUCUCUAUGAGCAGGUACACUUUGAGCAAAAUAUGAAGGACUUUUACAACUCCCAGACUCCACCAAGUGAAGAACCUGGAUUACGAGCACAAACACACUAGAGAUACUGGACACUCAGGUAAUCACUAGAGGCCUAACUAUUGAGUCAAGAGAGGCCUAGCUAUUGAGUCAAGAGAGGCGAUCCAGGACGCCCCGUCAUCCCGAUCUCUAUCGGCAUGGUGGACUUCCCAGAAGCACUCUGUGACUUUGGCUCCAGCAUUAUGCCUAGGGUAGUCUAUGAAAAAUUCUUUACACAUCCUUAGAAACAACCAUGUGUUUGCAGUUUGCAGAUCAGGCGUUAAGUUUCCCAAAGGGAAUAUUGAAGAACCUCUACGUCCGAGUUGGUACUUUAUAUGCUCCACUAGACUUCGUGGUGAUAGAGACUGAUACUGAUGAGAGGGCACCCAUCAUCCUAGGGAGGCCAUUCCUGAACACCUCGGGAGCUGUCAUCUAUGCUAGUGCUGCCAAGAUUAGUUUCUACAUCAAGGGGAAGAAGGAGACGUUUUCCUUCGAGAACACGACUACACAAAUCCCAGAGCAAUCCCGACAUGAACCAAGGAAGAGGACCAACAGGGGGAACAGGAACAAGCAAACGUAGACCGAGUCAGCUAAGAUGGUCACUGCAGUUCAAGGAUGUCAAGAUCGUCGACUUAAGUCACCGUUCCUGACCAAAAAGGACUGUUGACACCGUUUUUGGACACGUAUCCAGGAUCGGUAGGGUGUAGAUCGGCAAGAUAAAGCAACGGUAACUAGUCUGCAGGGGAGUUGCCGAUGAGGAAGAUUGUCGAUGAAGGGACGAUUGAGUAUGGCUAAGUCAGGGAGUGGGUGCGUUCCUAACCGAUGGUCAGCAUCAAUAUUUGCCGAUGGCGAUAGCAGGAAGAUUGCCGAUGGCCCCGCGGAGUUGCCGAUUGACCCAUGGCGGUGUCUUGGUCGAUCACGAGGGAAUAGUUUUGUGUUUUCCUUAGUUGUUUAGAUCGUUUUGUAUACGGAUCCUGUUUAAUGUGGAAUUCGAGUCAUAGUCAUGUCUGAUUGUAGCUCUUUGAGCAGGGUAUAAAUGUAGACCCUGGGGCCUUGUAGAAUAAUCAAUCAAUCAAACACAAGUUUCUAAUCAUAUUCCAGAAUCUACUUUUCGACGACUUCGUCAUAUUUUUUCUUUUUCAAUACGAGUUCUUAGGAGUUCGUCGACUUAAGCUCGGCGUAUUCUCGAGUUCCGCGUGAAUACCUCUUGGCUGUGGCAUCCGGGCGCAUCGCUGUUGUCGGGACCAAAGUAUUCGAGUUAUCACCUUUGCCGAUAGUAACGUCAAAUCGGCUGGCACGCCUUAACGUUUGAACCGGGUAUUAGCCCUUUGUGUUUGCAGAUCUAGCUUUUGCAUCAACACAUCUUUUGGCACGCCCAGUGGGACAACUAUUCAAGAUCAAGAUCGACAUGUCGACUACUGAGUUCGAUCAGGAGAACGUCAUCCCCGUGACGGAAGCCAAUCUCAAAGAUGAGCAGAAGCAAGUUAUUGCAAAAGCCAUGGAGGACUACAAGCAGCAAUGUUUGAGAUCCUUCAGCAUCAACAGGAGUGGUGAGGUGAUCCAGAAAGAAGCACUGCCGGCCCCUCGGCUGGAUACCUUUGAAGCCAAUCCUGGUAAACUCCAAGACAUGGUUGAUAGUGCUAUCAACCGUGCCUUGAUCAACCAAGCUGGUGUGCUGUCCAAUACGGUUUUCAUGGCUAGAACUUUCAAAGAAGGACAAUUGCCACCGAAUUACGUGGGCCCUGUCUACCAUCAGCCAGGAUCGACAGUGGUUACGGCUCCACCGGCUGCUACAGCCGCUGCGGGUACAGAAACUACUAUUCCUCUAAGCACGCUAGGAGUCUCUAAUGCGCAGUCCACGCCGAUGCCGUCUAAUCCAUCAACAUCAGAUGAAACGAUCAAGCUUACUACGGAUCUAUUGGCAUCGGCAAUGUCGGGAUACGUUCCUCCUAAUUGGUGGAGUUUUGGUAUGCCCCCGGAAUACUUGUUGAAGACACCUGGCACAUCUCAGGCAGCUGAUAUGAGAGGCAAGGCUCCUAUGGCAUCGGCACCUCCAAAUAUACCGAUGAAUCAGAGUCCCCAGUAUACUACAACUACUACUACAAGACCUUACACUGGGAAUUCUCAAGCUCCAACGUUCCAGGUGCCUAACGCAUCGGUAGAUUCAAUGCUGACGCAACAGAGGUUCAUGACUCAGCCAGGGUAUGUCAAUUCAAUGAUGAUGCCCAAUUACCAGUCAUCGGCAGGUCCCAUGCUGAUGAACGCUAAUAGUGGAUGGCCUGAGCAGCAAGUCUUUCCACAAAUGUCCCAACAGAAUCAUCAGGCUACAGGGUUUCAACAAGGCCAGAUCUACCCCGGGUUCUAGAAUCAAGGGUUGCCUAAUCAACCGAUGAAUCUCGGCCAGCAGAUUGGUGGUCAGUAGUUUGGUGGUCAACAUCUUGGUGGUCAACGGAUCGGCGGUCAGCAGAUUAGUGGCCAAAUGAUUAACCCAAUGUUCCAUGCAGAUCGUGCACCGCACAGACACGUGGAAGCCUAUCAGCUGGUGCCAGAUCCGCAACCGCCUCAUCGGCAAGAUGCCGAUGCUUAUUGGGCCAAUAAGAUUGCUGAAGUAAUGAGAGAUCAAUUUGGGAUUAAACCCAAAGUCAAUACUUACUCUUAUCGAACACCGUAUCCUCCUGCAUACGAUUUAAUCCCACUUCCAAAUCGGUACAAGGUACCAGAUUUCACCAAGUUUUCUGGUCAGGAUGAUACAUCAACUAUGGAGCAUGUCAACAGGUUCAUCAUCCAAUGUGGAGAAGCUGCUAACAGGGAUGAGUUAAGGGUUCGGUUGUUCUCGUCGUCAUUAUCUGGAUCGGCAUUCACCUGGUUUAUAUCGUUACCUCCCAACUCAGUGAUUACUUGGGCCGAUCUAGAGAAGCAAUUCCACAAGUACUUCUUUUCUGGAGUCCAUGAGAAGAAGAUCACUGAUUUGGUUAAAUUGAAGCAACGCAACGAUGAAUCGGUUGAAAGUUUUGUGCAGAGAAUAUGGGAAGUCAAGAACAAAUGCUAUAGUCUGGUUUUGGAUGAUCGGCAGCUAGCCGAUUUAGCUUUCCAGGGUUUGUUGCCACAUAUCAGGAACAAAUAUGCAUCUCAAGAGUUCGAAAGCUUAAGUCAUUUGGUGUAGAGAAUUUCUGAUCAAGAUGUCAGGCCUUUUGAGCCCAAGAGAGCAUGGAACAAAAAUGUAUCAUUUGUGGACGAAGCAGCAAGCUCAGACUCUGAUGAGGAACCAGUCAUCGGCUUGGCAGAAUGGGUAAAAAAUAAGAAGCCGAUGUUUUGCCCUUUUGGGCACAAAGAACCGGAGAAGUUCGCAUUUGACAUCACCAAAGCCGAUAGAAUAUUUGACUUUCUACUUCAGGAAGGUCAGAUCAAAUUGUCACCCAAUCAUGUAAUCCCAUCGGCUGAAGAAUUAAAGAAGAUGAAGUAUUGCAAAUGGCACAAUGCAACUUCUCACAGCACCAAUGAGUGCAAAGUUUUUAGACAACAGCUGCAAUCGGCUAUAGAAUCUGGGAGGAUCAAAUUUGAUAGCUCUAAAACUCAGAAGCCGAUGAAGAUUGAUCAACAUCCUUUCCCAACAAACAUGUUGGACGCAAAGGGAAAGGCCAAGGUCUUGACAUCGGAGGCAGCUGAAAGAAGUGCAUCGGUGGAUCCUCAGCAUCAGAUUACCACUGCCGAUGCAAAAGGGAAAGGCUUAAUCCAGGAAGGAAAUAGCUCAGGAAGGCCUCCUCGAUCUGGUAUUGUGAUAACUCAUAGAAGGCCUCGGGAGACUUGGCAGCAACGUGAGGAUCGGUAUCGGCGCCAGCAAGAAGACUAUCAUCGGGAAGAAGAAAGACGCCGACAAGAGUGGAAUCGGCAUAGGGAUCACUAGAAUUGUCCGUUCUUCAUCCAUUGUUGGGAGGAAAAUAUCAAGCUUCCUACUGUCAGAGACUGCCCGGAAUGUAAUGGUUAUGAUCGGUAUGACAGAUCAAAUCAGCAGUAUCAGAACGAUAACCGCCGGCUUGAUGGGCCGAUUAGGGGGAGAGCGUCGGUUCAUGAUCGGCUGGGGGGCAGGCUCAGCGUGCAUGAUAGGCUUGGUGACCGUGUUGAAUACUUUCCUAAGAACCAAGAAGAACUUGAGGAGAUGGCUAAUGCACGAGUUCCCGAUGAGUUCAUAUUUUGCAGGGAUGUCAAUACUUAUCGGAUGGAGUCAAGGGAAAAUCGUCGCCCAUCGGUAAAGCAGCAGCAACUUCCUCCAUGGUGUCCAGAAGGGUUGACUAGGACACAGAAAAUGAGGCUGCAACGCGAAAGAUGAGAAGAGUUGAGCAAGGGCGAGAACUCUGGCCAGUCUGGGGAUCAGCAACAAUCAGAUCCUAAAGGAAAAGGUCCAUCGACAGAUGUCAACAUGGUAUCUAUGUUGCCGAUGGAAUUCCUUGCGCCGUCCAGUGAUGAUGAGUUGGAGUUUUCUGACCAAAUAGCUCAGUUGGCUCUAGACCCGACGACAGCCAUUUUCGAAAAGCCUGCCGAUGAUGAAAGGCAACAUCUUAAGGCCCUGUUUGUCAAAGGAAGAGUGGAUGGUCAGCCGAUGACCAAGAUCUUCAUUGAUGGUGGAGCUGCUAUCAAUAUCAUGCCAUAUGCAGUGUAUCGGAAGCUUGGAAAAGGAGAUCAAGAUUUGACCAAGACCGAUAUGAUGCUCAAAGACUUUGAAGGGAAUGUGUCUCCGGUUAAGGAAGCCAUCUGUGUUGAAUUGACUAUCGGCAGCAAGACCUUGCCGACAACUUUCUUUCUGAUUAGUGGUAAAGGUGCUUAUAAUCUACUGCUAGUGAGAGAUUGGAUUCAUGCCAAUUGUUGCAUACCAUCAACAAUGCACCAAUGCUUGGUCCAGUGGGUAGGUGACAAGAUCGAAAUUGUCCCCGGAGAUUCUUCCUAUGUUAUUGCAUCGGCAGAGGCAGAUACCUACAAAAGAACUAGGUGUAUUUCAGGAGAAGUUUGGGAAAAGGAUUUCCUCAAAGUCGCCGAUUAUGAAAUUCCACCGAUCCAAGCAGUCGGUUCUGAUGAAGAGUUUUAAUGGAUAGGUUCGCCAAUGAUGGAAAAUUAGGCCAGGGAUUCACAUCGGCCGAUGAUUUAGUAGAAGUGGAUAUAGGUAGUGGUGAUAAACCUAGGCCUACUUUUAUUAGUGCUAAAUUAAAUUCUGAGUGUAAGCAACAGUUAACUGAUUUGUUAAAGGAAUAUAAAGAUUGCUUUGCUUAGGAUUAUACUGAGAUGUCUGGUUUAGACCGAUCAAUUGUCAAACAUCGGUUGCCUAUCAAGUCUGGAUUUCGGCCACAUCAACAGCCAGCUCGCCGGUGUAAUCCUAAUAUCCUUCCUGAUAUUAAGGCCGAAAUAACUAAGCUUAUUGAAGCUAAAUUUAUUCGGCAAUGUCGGUAUGCCGAAUGGAUUUCCAAUGUUGUUCCAGUUUAUAAGAAAAAUGGGAAGCUUCGAGUUUGCAUUGAUUUUAGGAAUCUUAAUAAAGCUACGCCGAUGGAUGGUUAUCCAAUGUCGGUUGCCGAUCUACUGGUUGAUGCUGCAGCUGGACAUCGGAUCAUCAGCUUUAUGGAUGGCAAUGCAGGAUACAAUCAAAUAUUCAUGGCUGAAGAGGAUAUUACAAAGACUGCAUUUAGAUGUUCUGGUCAUGUUGGGCUAUUUGAGUGGAUAGUCAUGACCUUUGGCUUGAAAAAUGCCGGUGCUACUUAUCAAAGGGCCAUGAAUUUUAUCUUUCACGAGUUCAUCGGCAAGCUGGUAGAAAUCUAUAUUGAUGAUGUGGUAUUUAAGUCUGGAGACUUCACAAAGCAUCUUGCCAAUUUGCGAAAGGUGUUAGAAUGCACAAGGAAGCAUGGUUUAAAGAUGAAUCCCAAUAAGUGUGCAUUUGGUGUAUCGGCAGGACAAUUCCUUGGUUUCAUGGUGCAUCAAAGGGGGAUUGAAAUUAGUUGGAGAUCCAUUGAUGCUAUCAACAAAAUAGUUGCUCCUACCAACAAGACUGAGCUCCAAUCCUUGAUCGGCAAGGUAAAUUUUAUCAGGAGGUUCAUAUCUAAUUUGUCUGGUAGAAUUCGUGCUUUCAGUCCUUUACUUAAGUUGAAAGCCGAUCAAGAAUUCGUUUGGGGGAAGGAACAACAGUUGGCCUUAGAUGAAAUCAAGGAUUAUUUAGUAGAUCCUCCGGUUUUGAUUCCACCUCAGCAAGGAAAUCCCUUCAGAUUAUAUUUGUCUACCGAAGGGAUGGUCAUCGGUUCGGCUUUAAUUCAAGAAUUUGAGGGGAAAGAACUUGUGAUUUAUUAUUUAAGCAGGCGGUUGGUUGAUGCUGAGACCAGGUAUUCGACUAUUGAAAAGUUGUGUUUGUGCCUAUAUUUCUCAUGUACUAAAUUGAGGCAUUAUUUAUUAUCUGCCGAAUGCACUGUCAUUUGCAAAGAUGAUGUGGUCCGAUACAUGCUAUCUAUGCCGAUCAUGAGCGGUAGAAUCGUUAAGUGGAUUUUGGCACUGUCGGAGUUCGAUUUGCGUUAUGAAUCGGCUAAGGCGGUUAAGGGACAGAUUAUGGCCGAUUUUGUAACUCAGCAUUGUGGUACAGUGGAGACUUUGGAAAUUAUACCUUGGACACUCUUCUUUGAUGGAUCCACGUGUGACCGGGGGGCAGGAAUCGGCAUAGUGUUAAUUUCCCCUCGGGGAAGGAAGUACGAGUUUUCCUUGCCGAUUGUUGCUACGUCGACAAAUAAUCAAGCUGAGUAUCAAGCUUUGAUAAAAGGGCUGGAAUUACUAAGGGAAGUUCAUGCUGAUGCUGUUGAAAUCUUUGAAGAUUCUAUGCUGGUUAUAAAUCAAUUGGCUGGGAGCUAUGAAUGCCGAAGUGAGGUUUUGAUAACUUAUCACGAGAGGAGUAUGCAACUGUUAAAGGAAUUCAAGGAUUUCUGAUUAGAGCAUGUUCCUCGGUUGCAUAAUGAAGAGGCCAAUCGGUUGGCUCAGUAUGCCUCGGGAUAUCAGCCCAUGAUAAACGUAAUAUCGGCAAUCGGUGCCGAUGAUUGGAGAAAGGAAAUCAUUGAUUAUUUAAAGGAUCCAUCCAAGAAAGUUGAGAGACGUAUUCGUUUUCAAGCCACCAAGUAUGUGCUCCUCGAAGAUGAGUUAUAUUAUCGAACAAUUGAUGGAGAUCUUCUCAAAUGCUUAGGUGAUGAUGAGGCUAAAAAUUUAAUGGGAGAAAUCCAUGAAGGAGUAUGUGGAGCACAUCAGUCGGCUUUUAAGAUGCAGUGGAUGAUUAGGAGGAAUGGGUAUUAUUGGCCUACCAUACUUGAAGAUUGUUUUAAAUAUUUCAAGGGGUGUCAAUGAUGUCAGAAAUUUGGCAAUGUUCAAAGAGCACCCGCAUCGGCCAUGAAUCCUAUCAUCAAACCUUGGCUGUUCCGAGGAUGGGCUAUUGACUUGAUCGGCCAGAUUUAUCCGCCAUCCAGCAAGGGACAUAAGUUUAUCUUAGUUGCCACUGAUUAUUUCACCAAAUGGGUUGAAGCUAUUCCUUUAAAGAAAGUUACAUCGGCCAACAUGAUCGAUUUUGUGAAAGAGCAUAUUAUUUACCGAUUUGGAAUUCCUCAAACAAUUACUACCGAUCAGGGUACUAUGUUCACAUCAGGGGAGUUUGAUGAAUUUGCAAUCGGUAUGGGAAUUAAGGUAUUAAACUCUUCUCCUUAUUAUGCUCAAGCUAAUGGACAGGCCGAGGCAUCUAACAAAGGAAUUAUCAAGCUUAUUAAGCGGAAGAUUGAAGAAAAUCCUAGGAGGUGGCACACGUUGUUAAAUGAAGCUUUAUGGUCAUACCGGAUGGCUUGUCAUGGAUCGACUAAGGUUUCACCUUAUCAGUUGGUAUAUGGGCAUGACGCAGUGUUACCUUGGGAAAUUAAGACUGGGUCUAGGCGACUAUCUUUUCAAGACCAGUUGGCUGCCGAUGAUUAUGCUGCUUUAAUGACAGACGAGUUGGAUGAUCUAGCAGGGCAUCGGCUAAAGGCUUUGAUGAGUAUAGAAGAGAAUAAGAAGAGAGUUGCCAGAUGGUAUGAUAAGAAGGUGAAGGCUAAGGAGUUUGCUGAUGGAGACUUAGUAUGGAAGCUAAUCUUACCGAUCGGGACUAAAGUUCAAAAUUUGGGAAGUGGUCUCCCAAUUGGGAGGGUCCCUAUCGGAUAAGUCGAUCGGCCCCUGGUAACGCCUAUAUUUUAGAAACUCUUGAAGGAGUUGAAUUUCCCAGAGCAUUAAAUGGCAAAUAUCUAAAGAAGUAUUACCCAAGCAUAUGGGUCGAUGCAUAAAAGUUUAAGUGCCAAUAACAUUCCUAUCGGCUGGAUCAAAAUGUAUCUGGGGCCGGAUUUAAUGUUUUAAGAGGUGCCGAUAACAAUCCUAUUGGCUAGACCAAAAUAUCAGAAGAGUUGGGAAGGAGAGAGCGAGGAUGUUGCUGAUGAAGAUUUCACACGUUUAACAAUGCCUGGAUAGUCGAUAUAGCGCGAAGAUGGAUCUGGUUGGCUUCCUCUAUUUCCUUCAUGUCAUCAUCGGCAGAGCCCUCCAAUGGCUUCAGCUUUUUCUUCAUCUGUAGCGCUCUGCGGCCAUGGACAUUUCGCUCUUGUUCGAGAAGUUUGAUCACCUCAGGCAGCUCGCUUUCCUCUUGCUGGGCUUGAGACGAGGCUUCUUCUACUUGCUUGAGCUCUGCCAACAGAGCCUCUCUUUUUGCCGACAGAUCAGAGAUCUUGUGUUUCAGUACAUCUCCUGAGGACUUCAGGAUGCCGAUAUUCUUGUGCUUCUCAUCGGCAAGGAGCUUCACUUUCAUCAUUUCCUUGGAAAGCUGAGCCUGAGCAGCUCUGUCGGCAAGACGCCGGGUAGCCUUUUGAUAUUGCAGCUGACGGCUCUCUAAAUGUGCAGCUUGAAAGAGGAUUUCUUCGGCAUCGGUAGGAAUUUGGCCUCUGAGGGUCUUGAACAAGGCCUUGGCCGGAUCGGAAUCAUCAACCAGUUGGGCUGUGUCUUGAUGGAGGAGGGCUGACAAUUCUUCUAACUUGGCUCUGAUUUCUGCCGAUGUGAUUCCAAUUGUUCAAGAAGAGCUUGCCUCCUCGCCUUCAUCUUCAGAAAUGUCGAUGGCCAAGGAGAACAAACUGUUAGGGGAGUCCUGUUCCUAAAAAGGAAGUAAAAUAAGUUAUUUCAUGAUCAAGUGUUGAUAAAUAAUGCAGAUAGGAAUUGGGUGACUUACUUGUUUCAGGGCAAUCUCUCACCUCUGACUAGAGGAUGCCGAUGGAAUCACGGGCUGAUCGGCUGGGUUUGCCGAUGGAACUAUGUCAGCUGAAAGAUUAACAGAGAUUAUGAUGCAGGAAAAGUAGGUUCAUCAGCAAAGAUUUCAUAGAGAGUAUGUUACCUUGAGGGGGAGCAGUACUUGUUUGGAUUGAGGAAACCACCGAUGCUAUAAUUGAACUUGAUGGAUCGGCAGUUUGCUCGUGCACGUCAGCCGAUGUGUCUUCUGGUUGAGGUUCCUCCGGUUGGGGUUCUUCUGCGUGAGGUUCUUCUUGUGGUAGAGGAGAAGGUAUCUAUUGUGUCUAGACUUCUGGAGAAGAAGGAGAAGAUUCCACCGGGAUCGGUGAUAUUGGAGGAGGAGAGGGCACUGCUGUUCUCUAGCGUUUUGCUUGGGUUCCGGUACUCUUGGUACCUUUUCUCUUCGGUUGACUGGACUGGGGAGCAUCGGCACUUGUGCUUCUGGUCCUUGCCGAUGCGCCGGUGUGGUGAUACAACAAUGAGAAUUCAUGAGUACAGGAGUAACAGAUGUAAGAAUGGAAUCGGUAUGGAUGAAAGAGUUUGAAAAUUUACCUUGAAGGCCUGUGCUAAAGUAGAGGCAACUACCGAUGGAGAUGCCUUUGUCCUUUUGGUGGUGACUUUCUUGAGGCGCACACCUCGAUGCAUUAUGGCAGCUAAGGUAGGAGCAUUGUUGCCGAUCGAGGAGAUUGGACCUGAUGAAAAAAGCUCAAUCGGCUUGCCACUCCUACUGACCGAAGGCGGUGUGUCGUCAACCUGUAAUAUAAUGCAGAAAGUAAGUUACCGAUGAAAAUGAAAAUAAAAAGAUUGGAGCAUCGGUUUGGAAAUACUUACAGUAUUGUCGGGGACUUUGUACAGGGGUCGAUCAUGCCACGGUACGUGAGAGCCGAUUUGCAGAACAAGUGCUCCUUCCAUUCUUCCAACCAUUGUUUGUACGCCUGAGUAAUGAAGAGGGCCGGAAUCCACUCUGAUAGAUCUGCAUCUGUACCGGCACUCAGUGGCAGUUGAGCUAUCCUGGUCCACUCAAGAAGACUGGUGAUGGUUUCCCUGGGUUUUAUCACAUCGGCAUAACAAAGCGCAAUCGGCAGCUGACCGAAAGCUAGUUGACGGGCUAAUGCCGAUGGGUUGUAAAAUUCAUAGGUCUGGUUAGAAGCUUUCCCACUGCCGAAGAAGUUUACUGGUAUGGCUCUUGGAGUGAUAAGUGCCAUCAUCACAUCAUGAUCUUUAUUAAGAGCAUCGUUGAACGGAUGAAAGACCAAAGGAAACAUGGUGUCUGGAUCUUCAUAAGGCAUCCAUGCUCGUUGUUCUCUGGUCAGGCCUUUGUACAGGGUCUGGAAGAAUCGGCUAACCUGGUCUGCAUUACCACCUGUACUGGGUAGAACUAUGGUAGCCUCUGUUGAUAUUUGGUAACACAAUAAGGAAAUGAUCCGCAAGCGCACGGGUAUCGGUGAGCAUUUCACCCGGGAGGUUUUCCAGAGUAUCGUAUUUAUAUUUUUACCACUGCGAGAAAGGGUGCAUCUGACUAACCAAAUCUAUUGCUACUAUCCCUUUAGGCUACAAAGAAUGUUUCUCGAUGUGAGUGAUGUAUAGAGAAGUCUGCAACCGUAGUCUCGUUCUAACCUUGGUAAGGAUGAUCUACUGUUCUAUUGGGGAAGCUUACGGAAUCUAGACACCACAAAGGAUGUUCAACCCGCACCUAUAAACCUACCCGUCCUGCUAACAAGAUAUGGGAUACAAAGGUAACUCGAAAAUGUCAUGUUCCUCGCUACUACCACGGUCCAGCUAGUCAGGGGAUAUCUAUGAGUACCCUAGCCUAAACACCACGUUUAUGCUAGCAAUGAUUACUCUAAUACUCAACCGGAAGAGGAUUAAAGUAAACUCAUAAACCAAAGAACAAUAAAACAAGAACUUACUAGAAUUAGAAGUCGAAUUACUGAAGAAUCUUAGAAGCAAGCCUCGGGUUAGAAGACUUGAUCCCGCAGGUACAACUCGGAGUAGACACCGACAGGCCGGCCUUCCUCCGAUCUACACCUCCACUCUAUCUCUCUCGAUCUAGUAGAAACUAGAAGAUCUAUUUCUACUUUACAUUGGAUGCUAAGCAUAAAAAGAAAUAUUAUUUAGAGAAGAGGUUUUCCUUCGAGGGUACCCCUCAAUCUCUAUGAUAACUUCUUGUCUUCUCCAGGGGCGAGGGGGGUCUCCUUAUAUAGUCCUCCUCCUCUAUGCAUUUUUGGGUCGGUAGGCGAUGUGGUACUACGUUAUCCUUGAUCCUUUAGGUCGGUGGAACAUCGUGUGCGAAGAGAGUCCUGAACGGAGUCUAGGACAGGGUGGGCGCCCAGGGAAAGAGGGCGGGCGCCCUGGGCCUGGCCCCUUUCGGCCUCUGCUUUCUUCCCGUGGCUUCUGGAGUCUUCUAGAUGGUAGAAAAUUGUGCGGUGUGUUGAUAUCUCUAUGUAAUCCCGACAUGUGGGCCUUUCUUCCUUAUUUCCUGAUAACCCCCUGCAGAAAUAGACAAACACCAAAACUCAUGGAAUUCUGUCAGAUAAAACCCUAAGUCUGGAUGUUGGUUGUAUUUGGAUCAUUUUCUUUAUUUAUUUGAUGAUUAUAUUUGGUACUUAAGGACCGUCAACAACUCCCCGAAGCUUACCUCUUGCUCGUCCCUGAGCAAGGAUGAACUCAAGAGUUUCUGCAGUGGUUUCAUGCCUUAAAAGUACACACACAUUCAAACAAGAUCUCAUCUCUGAGUUAGAAUAAACUGUUAAGACUUAAAACUUACUCAUUUUACCUUUCACCAUGGGGCUUGUAACCGUCACUUGUGUCUUGAGCAGUUAAAAGAUAGAACGGUCAAGUCAAGCGCCAUGUCUCUUAUUCUUGAUCAGCUAUAGCUCUGGAGUUUUUGCAGAUUUUCAAAUAAGACUCAGAGAUUCCUUGUAUGACUCUCUCAAAUCUCUCUUUUGUGGUAUUUCUAGAUCCUUUCCAAGGCAGUAAUGGUAUAUGCCUUCUCUCAAAGUAUGUGGUAUUUUUGGUAUAAGGCAUAGUGAUAUUGCCUUCUCUCUCACCCUACUCUAAUAAGGUUUUGAUAUCUGGAGCUCAUAGGUGGGAUACAGCUAAUACAUACUUACAAGACAUUUAUUGCAUAGUCAAACCAUGGAUCCAGAGAAACAAGUCAAUAAGUCAAAUCAAGAUGUGCAUGUGUGGCGAAUGAAUAGUGUAUGGUGAUGAUGGUGAUAACAAUGGUGAAAGUCUAAUUCUAUGUUUGCUCUUUUAAGGGGAUACAUACCUUUCUUGCACUUUGAAGCUUUUUGAGGAUAAUGAGAUGCUCUGUAUUUUCUUUUUCUUUUUCUCUCAGGUGGGUAUCUUGUACCCCUAAUUCUACUGUCGGACACUUGUCCAUUUUUACCUCUCGUCUCACUUUUUCUUUUCUUCGAGGUUCCGGGCACUUGCCCCUUUUUAUUUCCUCGUAUUAUAUUUUUUUUCUCUCUUUUUUUUAGAGCACUCAUCUCCUGAAAGAAUGUAGCAAGUGGUAGUAACCAAAAUAACUGGAGCAUUUAUUUCACAGGGAAUAACAAGGAUAGGAAAAUGUUUUUGGCUAUUCUCUCCCGGAUUAGGAGUAGAAUAAUUUUGGUUGAAUCUAGAGAUGGAAAUGAGUGGAUGUAUGUGGAUGCGUAGUUCUGGAGUAGAAGCAGCAUAUACGAGUGAACAUGUAAGUGAAUCUUGAUUUUAACCACAUGACAAGCUCCUAAGGGUCUACACAGCUUGACCACACUCAAUGCUCAUAAGCAGUAAAAAGUAAAUGUUUGGCUCAAAGUCUAAUAAGCAUGUAUAUAUGGAUGUGGUAGGAUUUUAAACUCUCAUCAUACAAGAACUCAUCAUGUGAUAUUUUAAAGAUUUUUCAAAGAUAAAAUUCUCCAAAAUUCUAGCAUCUCUAGGAACAGAUAAACAGCAGCUCAAUCUUCCCAUAUCAUAUCCGUUAACAACAUAGACUUUAGAUCAAGUACUUUUCCCACAAGUUCAGGUUUAGAGCACGCUUUGAAUUAUAACAGUUAUGCCUAAACUUGAGAGAGAUUUCAAUUUUAAUAACUAGUCAUAGCAGAGCAACUAUUCAUCAUUUCCAUGUGAGAGUUUAUCAUGAGGGUUCAUAUCAAACUUUAUUUAUUUAUUUAUUUAGCAAACUAAGCAAAGAUAUAUAUAUAUAAAAGCACAAAAUCUUUAUUUGGGUUUUCAUGAUUAUGCAUUUUUUAUUUGAGUAAAGUAUAAACGCGAGUAGAAACACUUAGCUGGAUAAAUGGGGGUGCUCUCCCCCAAGCUGGAUUUUGACAUAAUUUCUUCUGAUGUAGCUAGCAGGUGAUGGAGGUGUAUUUGAAAGUCGGCAGCACCCUGACAGCGAUUAGGAUGUCCUCCGUCUGCUAGUCUUCUUUCAUCCUUGAAUUCUGUGGAGCUUAAAUAGACAACAAAGCUUUGUGGAACUGGUUAAGUGUUAGCAUAAAUAUCUAGCCUUUAUCAUGUUGAGCCUCCUCAAUAAAUGUUACUUAUUUAGCAGGAUCAUGCACUUAUUAUUUUUAUAUUUUUAUUGUAAGUUGAAAACUUAUUUAUUUUAUUUUUAUGCCACCACAGUGAAUGUACUUAUGGGUUUUAUGCAUGAGCAUACUCACAUGGGGCUUACUAUUUUUAACAUUUUUAUUUUCUUUUCAAGAUAGCAUGAACCGGAUUAACUAAGCAAACUAUUGAAUGGAAAAGGAUAACUACCAAGUUUACCUCUUGGCAAGGCGUUCGGUAUUUUUAAGUCCUCCGAACGGGACUCUCCGUUUUCUCAGUCGUCCUGGGAUUCGCUGGAUGGCGUAGUCGGUGGUUCCGGCGGCGCUUCCUCUUCGUGUGUAACUAUCUUCUCUCUCCACACCUGACUCGGUGCUAUGGUCUCCUCAGGACAGUUCUGUUCAAGCUAUAUGUCUUCAGACCUUAUCACUUCUCCUUCGUAGUCUACCCAUCCGUCCUUGAUGAUUUGCCUCCUCUGGUUGCGGUUGCGUUGUCUUCUUCUUGUCUUGACCUGCUUAGAGUUUUGAUAGUGUUGAGGAAUGGUCUUCCAAGGAUGAUGGGUGGAUCGUACUCGUCUUCUCACAUGUCAAUGAUCUGAAAGUCAUCUGGAGCUGAAUAUAUAUUGGUUGUAGGGGCAUGGUUCCAUGCAGGAGCUGAUAAGUGACUGCGGCCAUUAUGUUGACGUUAGAUCCGGUGUCGUAGAGUGCCUUCUAAAAAGAGUAUCUGUUGAUUGUGCACUCAAUGCUUGGAACACCAGGGUCAUCCUUCUUGAUAAAGAAAGGUGACUUGAGUCGACGAUCUUGACCUCCUUCGACAAGGAUCCAAAGUUUUAAAUCUUCUAGACAAGACUUCUCACUGUCUUCAUCCUUUAGGUGCAUCAUUUGAUUAGGUGUGGACCUUGACGUCUGCACUUCUUGAUAUCGUGUCACCUAUAUUCUUUGAUUGCCCAGCAGUUCGAAGUGCGGUGUUGGCAAUAUCCUGCUCAGUGUGUGUGUGCUCAUAGAUCCAGGUCCUUCAUUUGGUGGAGUCUGGGAGUUGUAAAACUCCUCCAUGUUUUGCUUGAAGUGUACCUGUUCAUAGAGACAAGACAGAGAUCAAGUCCAUGUGCCCUGUUGGUGGAAAACACCAACAGAACCAGAAGUGUAAUUGUUCUUCUCUAACCUUAAGCAUAGUGAGCAAGACAAAGUUGAUGGAUCAUGAGUGUAGCAUUUAAAACAUUUGCCAGAUCAGAUUCCUUGACCUAAUGGAAAGAUAAUCUAUCUAUAUAUAUAUUGUUUAUAUCUUCCAAAGAUUGAAUGUGCAACAUAUUAGCUUAUAUGAUUAGGAGCGUGGGAUCACGAAGGUAGUACUAAGAACACAGAGCAAAGGACUAAACAUGCUGAAUCAGUUGGGUUUGUUAAUUUGGAGCUACAAAUCAUACAUGUUUGUCUCUUUAUUUAUGUGAAUGUUAGAACCAAGGAGAAGCUUAUAAAAGCAAUAGUCAAGUACCUUAAGAUGUUACCUUACUUGAAGAGUGAUGGAAUAGUAUCACCUUGUGGAAGCUUUCCUUUCUUAGCGGUUGUGCAUCGUGUUUGUGGCACUCUUCAUGGAUCAUCUCUUAUGAGCUACGUCUUUCUUGUGCAAAUUGUUAAACUUCAUGUGUCACUUUCUUCAUCUCCAAUGUGAGUUUAUCUCAGGACUUCCCAGGUUGAUAUUGAAAGUUUCCUGCAGGGGUUAGUCUCACAAAAUAUACCAAUAUCUACUCAAGCAGUUUUUAGUUCAGUAACCAAACUAGACUCCAUGUCUAAUCAGAUUAAGGAAGGCUAUUUAACCUAAGCACCAUGCUUAAUUUAAAUGCCAAUGGAAGUAUGUCGAGUACUUCCAAACCAACACUUGCUAGUAAAUAGAUAAAGGUAGCAUGACAGCAUUCAUAGAGAUCUACUCAAGUGGAGAUGAAGUAGUGUGAUUAGUACUUAACAAAUUGAGCAUGUCUCAAAGGUAGGGACAACAAACAUAGCAACAUGGCAAAGGAUGUUUUUAUGUAAAGUACUCCCCCAAGCUUGAAUUUUGCAAAAUUCAAGUUUGGAUGAAUUUAAUUCAAUGUUGUAUGAUGGUUGGUUGGACAUACCUUGUGCUUGUCAUUCAUCCGAUCUUCUUGCUCCAAUCCUGGAAAGGUUAGUGGCAAGAAUACCCGAAGGAAUAUUUCUACAAUUAUCUCAAUAUGCUCAAUACACGAUACAAUGUUGCAAAUUCAUGUUACGAUCUGAUAAGUCCUUGUUUAAGGACGCUAAGCUUAUCUUUGGGAAACCAUCAAAUUAUGUCAGCGAAGUGGUUUCCCCUCUAACACUGACCUAUAUCAAGAUCAACUCAACGAGAUCUGCAAUAUUUAUUAUAGACAUAUGCAUCGACAACCGCUCUUUUAAAGUUUUUAUAAAUAGAAAAGAAGAGGGGGUUGGAGAUCUCAAAUGUGGUGAUGUUGGAGAGACCAAUUGAUUGGGGAGAUAUUUUAUAUGAGCAAGGACUUGGUGAGGUAUUUAUGAAAUAACUUCCAUGCUCACUGUUGUUUCUCUCAUUCUCAAACUCCAAGGAUGAUUCUUCAUGAAUGCUUAAAAUUCCUCUAGGAUUGUCUCUCAAGUUUGUUUUAUCUAUCCAUUCAAUGGUGAUAGCACAUAGAUUUUUAAUGCCCUCUAGCCAUUGAUGCUGCUCUUCUCGAUCCUCCUUGUAGUCUUGGUGACUCUUAUGAAUGGGAUGUCUAGAUAGAUUCAUAGGAUUAUCGGGAGGUUCAAGAGAAAGAGCGUAGUAGAAAUUAUUAGGCUCAAGGAUGGGUUUGAUAGCCGAAUCAUGGGAUUGAAGUGUUUGGAAAUUGGCUAUUGAAUCUUCCUUUCCUUGUCUGGGAGAUGAUUCCUUCUGUAUCCCUAAGAUUUUUCUAUGAAGACUAGUAUAAGAAGGAUGUCCAUGAAUGAAGACAUACCUUCCUUUACUAAUAGAUAAAGAAAGAGAGACUCUACCAAUGGUUAUAUAAUUAAGACCAAUGUGAAAAUAUCGAGAAAAAACAUGGUCUUGUAGGGCUAGGUCUGAACCAGAAUUUAUAGAAAGAUUAACAGAUUCCCUAGGUGUAGCUAAAAGUGCAUUAUCUUCUUGAUUAAAAGAUAGGACCUCGGCUAUAGAAAAGGGUUGGUUUUGACCUAUUGCAAUCAACACCGGGCACAAAUCAUAAUUAGGGGCAGGACUUGUUGACACCCAUGGUAUAUGGCUGGUCUCCGAAGGUGCAAAGAAUUCAAUAAUAGGUAUGGAAUUUAAGUUAUCCAUAAAGAUAAAAAUAAAAAGAUAAAAGAAUAAAAGUAUAAAAGUAUAAUACAAGAUAAUAGCAAGACUCAAAGUUAUCUCAACAAACCAUCUUUCUCCUCGGCAACGGCGCCAGAAAUGCUUGUUGAUAUUUGGUAACACAAUAAGGAAAUGAUCCGCAAGCGCACGGAUAUCGGUGAGCAUUUCACCCGGGAGAUUUUCUAGAGUAUCGUAUUUAUAUUUUUACCACUGCGAGAAAGGAUGCAUCUGACUAACCAAAUCUAUUGCUACUAUCCCUUUAGACUACAAAGAAUGUUUCUCGAUGUGAGUGAUGUAUAGAGAAGACUGCAACCGUAGUCUCGUUCUAACCUUGGUACGGAUGAUCUACUGUUCUAUUGGGGAAGCUUACGGAAUCUAGACACCACAAAAGAUGUUCGACCCGCACCUAUAAACCUACCCGUCCUUCUAACAAGAUAUGGGAUACAAAGGUAACUCGGAAAUGUCACGUUCCUCGCUACUACCACGGUCCAGCUAGUCAGGGGAUAUCUAUGAGUACCCUAGCCUAAACACCAUGUUUACGCUAGCAAUGAUUACUCUAAUACUCAACCGGAAGAGGAUUAAAGUAAACUCAUAAACCAAAGAACAAUAAAACAAGAACUUACUAGAAUUAGAAGUCGAAUUACUGAAGAAUCUUAGAAGCAAGCCUCGGGUUAGAAGACUUGAUCCCGCAGGUACAACUCGGAGUAGACACCGACAGGCCGGCCUUCCUCCGAUCUACACCUCCACUCUAUCUCUCUCAAUCUAGUAGAAACUAGAAGAUCUAUUUCUACUUUACUUGGAUGCUAAGCCUAAAAAGAAAUAUUAUUUAGAGAAGAGGUUUUCCUUCGAGGGCACCCCUCAAUCUCUAUGAUAACUUCUUGUCUUCUCCAGGGGCCAGGGGGGUCUCCUUAUAUAGUCCUCCUCCUCUAUGCUUUUUUGGGUCGGUAGGCGAUGUGGUACUACGUUAUCCUUGAUCCUUUAGGUCGGUGGAACAUCGUGAGCGAAGAGAGUCCCGAAUGGAGUCCAGGAGAGGGCGGGCGCCCAGGGAAAGAGGGCGGGCGCCCUAGGCCUGGCCCCUUUCAGGCUCUGCUUUCUUCCCGUGGCUUCUGGAGUCUUCUAGAUGGUAGAAAAUUGCGCGGUGCGUUGAUAUCUCUAUGUAAUCCUGACAUGUGGGCCUUUCAUCCUUAUUUCCUAAUAACCCCCUACAGAAAUAGACAAACACCAAAACUCGUGGAAUUCUGUCAGAUAAAACCCUAAGUCUGGAUGUUGGUUGCAUUUGGAUCCUUUUCUUUAUUUAUUUGAUGAUUAUAUUUGGUACUUAAGGACCGUCAACAGCCUCGCCAAAAUUUAGAGGACGUCGAGUUGCCGAUUCCUCUUCAUCCAAUUCACAAUUCUCGGCUAUGUCCCUGGGAAAGCGUUGUGCGAAGAGGUUGAACUCGAGACGCUUGUGCAUAUGGAGGCUAAGCCACAUAUUGAUGAACCACCAGGGCCCCCUAAGUUGCCGAUGGAUUGGCCGAGUAGGAGUUUUCUGGCUACUUGAUGGAGGAGGUGGUAAACCGAGCCAAGCAGGUAUCGGCUGAGGGGAAAUCGGCCACCAUUAGCUAAUCUCUCUGCUACCGAUAGGUAAACAGAGGUUGGUCCUGUCGAUCGACCGCAGGACACAAAUUUGUCCAACCACAUGUUCAGAAAGGUGGUUUGUUCCUUUAUGUUGACAGGCCCCGUUCUACGGUACUUCUGAAUAUACCCAGACCAGCCGCCGAUAGAGCGGGUUUCUACCUUGGCACUAGGUGUGGUGUCAAAUAUGUGGCUACUAUCGGUAGUGGAUACAUCUAAGCCGGUGAGCAUAAGCACAUCGGCAAGAGUGGGAGAAGCAGGGCCAUGACCGAAGACAAAGGCAUUAAGUGUGUCUAACCAGAAAUAUGAUGCAGCAAUCAGCAGUGAUUCAUUCCUAUGCAUAUCGGCAAGAGAUAGCCUAAUGCAUUGGUCCAAUUUUCGUUCGCCCCACUGAACCUCAUUCGAAUGGCUGACUCUCAAGAACCAAUCCUUCCAUCCCAUGGUAGGACUGGGCCAAGAACAGAAGGUAUCUUUCCACAGAUCUAGAGAAAAAUUCUCGGCUCUAAAGGGGAUUAUGUUUGUUUCUGCGUUGAUCAGAUCGGUGGGAUCUGGGUUCCCUAGCGGACCGAGACAUUGGAGGUGUGGCUGAUCGGUAGGGAUGACAAUUUUAUUGGACAGAUCCUAAUAGUUUUUGCGGUAAAAAGAAGAAGAAAAGAAAAAAGGGAGAGAAGAGUAUUCAGUAAGAUGAACUGCGGAUGAACAGGAAUGCGGUAAAAAUACAAGAGAGAAGUAUGAACUGACCUCAGGAACAACAAAGUUGAUGGCCAUUUCCUCACGAAGAAGGUGAUCGAAGACUUUGAGGUUGGUGGAGAAAAGCCUUCGUUGGAGUUCUUGGAGCUCUCGAACAGCGCCGCCGCCAGAAAAGUAGAGUUGGGGCUGUAGGAUGAUGCGAUGGAGAAGGAGUACCCGAGAAGGAACUAUUUAUAGGACAAAAUGGGCAAGGGAAAAUCUGACUUAUCUCUUCACCGUAUCCGUGAAAUUCGAGGGUGCUCAGGUAGAUAUGGUAACUGUUCGCACGGUAAUCAAGGGAUUGUGUAGGUGAUUUAACAGGAAGCGGUGAUGAUCUGGAGAUAUUUCACUGUGCGGGAUUUCCUGGUCGGUCCAUCAGCAGCUUCCACCAACGGUAAUAUUGCCGAUGGGCGAAUAAAGUGGAGAUGUCCCGUUUGGGAGGUUAAGGAAUUCGAGGAAUCUGCGGAAGGAUCGGGCCAGGGUUGCUAGAUUUCAACGGUCGGUUACCAAAUUGGGAGGAUUAAUUGCAGAAAGGCGUCAUUAAAGCAGAGAAUUUCGGAGCAUUAAGAAUUUUAUACUCUGAAACUGGGGGGCAUGUGUUGACACCGUUUUUGGACAUGUAUCUAGGAUCGGUAGGGUGUAGAUCGGCAAGAUAAAGCAACGGUAACUAGUCUGCAGGGGAGUUACCGAUGAGGAAGAUUGCCGAUGAAGGGACGAUUGAGUAUGGCUAAGUCAGGGAGUGGUGGCGCGUUCCUAACCGAUGGUCAGCAUCAAUGUUUGCCGAUGGCGAUAGCAGGAAGAUUGCCGAUGGCCCCGCGGAGUUGUCGAUUGACCCAUGGCGGUGUCUUGGUCGAUCACGAGGGAAUAGUUUUGUGUUUUCCAUUGUUGUUUAGAUCGUUUUGUAUACGGAUUCUAUUUAAUGUGGAAUUCGAGUCCUAGUCGUGUUGAUUAUAGCUCUUUGAGCAAGGUAUAAAUGUAGGCCCUGGGGCCUUGUAGAAUAAUCAAUCAAUCAAACACAAGUUUCUACUCAUAUUCCAGCAUCUACUUUUCGAUGACUUCGUCAUAUUUUUUCUUUUUCAUUACAAGUUCUUAGGAGUUCGUCGACUUAAGCUCGGCGUAUUCUCGAGUUCCGUGUGAAUACCUCUUGGCCGUGGCAUCCGGGCGCAUCGCUGUUGUCGGGACCAAAGUAUUCGAGUUAUCACCUUUGCCGAUAGUAAGGUCAAAUCGGCUGGCACGCCUUAACGUUUGAACCGGGUAUUAGCCCUUUGUGUUUGCAGAUCCAGCUUUUGCAUCAACAAGAAAGACCCAGGUAUGCCAAGCAUCCAAUGCUCCAUUAAUGGAUACAACUUCUAGAAGACGCUUUGCAACACCGGGUCAGACGUCAAUAUAAUGGUCGCAGUCACCUAUCAGCUCCUGUUCGGAACCAUGCCCCUAAAACCGACAUACAUUCAGCUCAAGAUGGCAGAUUAGACAUCUCGAAAGAUUGAAGGUAUAGUAACUGAUGUCCCUGUCAAAAUAGACGAUCAUUUUGUCCGUACAGAUUUUCAAGUUAUUGACGUGGGAGAAGACGAGUACGAUCUACCCAUCAUCCUUGGGAGACUGUUCCUCAGCACCGUUAAAGCAAUCAUCUACAUAGGAACCGGAGAAGUCCACAUGCACUUCCCCUCUGAGAAGGUCAGGACAAGAAGAAGACGACGCAACCGCAAUCAGAGAAGGCAAAUCAUCAAAGACGGAUGGGCAGACUACGAAGGAGAAGUGGUAAUGUCUAAAGACAUACAGCUUGAACAGAACUGUCCUGAGGAGACCGUAGCACCAAGUCAGGUGUGGAGAGAAAAGAUAGUUAUACACAAAGAGGAGGCGCUGCCGGAACCACCGACUAUGCCAUCCAGCGAAUCCCAGGACGACUGAGAAAACGGAGAGUCCCGUUCAGGAGAAUUUAAAAACACCGAACGCCUUGCUAAGAGGUAAACUUGGUAGUUAUCCUUUUCCUUUCAAUUAUUUAAAAUAGUUUGCUUAGUUAAUCAGGUUCAUAUCAUCUUGAAAAGAAAAUAAAAAUGUUAAAAAUAGUAAGCCCCAUGCGAGUUUGCUCGUGGCAUAAAACCCAUAAGUACAUUCACUGUGGUGGCGUAAAAAUAAAAUAAAUAUAUUCCUGUCCUAUAAAUAUGAAAAUAUAAAAAUAAAUUUAUGAUCCUACCAAAGAGAGUAAUAUUUAUUAGAGGAGGCUCAACAUGAUGAAGGCUAGAUAUUUAUGCUAACACUUAACCAGUUCCACAAAGCUUUGUUGUCUAUUUGAGCUCCACAGAAUUCAAGGAUCAAAGAAGACUAGCAGACGGAGGACAUCCUAAUCGCUGUCAGGGCGCUACCGACAUUCAAAUACACCUCCAUCACCUGCUAGCUACAUCAGAAGAAAUUACGUCAAAAUCUAGCAUGGGGAGAGCACCCCCAUUUAUCCAGCUAAGUGUUUCUAUUCGCGUUUAUACUUUACUCAAAUAAUAAAAAGAUGCAUAAUCAUAAAAACCCAAAUAAAGAUUUUGUGCUUAUAUAUAUAUAUAUCUUCGCUUAGUUUGCUAAAUAAAUAAAUAAAUAAAGUUUGCUAUGAACCCUCAUGAUAAUCUCUCACAUGGAAAUGAUGAAUAGUUGCUCUGCCAUGACUAGUUCUCAAAAUUGAAAUCUCUCAAGUUUAGGCAUGACUGUUAUUAAUUAAGAUUUGCUCUAAACCUGAACUUGUGGGAAGAGUACUUGAUCUAAAGUCUAAGUCAUUAACGGAUACGAUAUGAGAAGGUUGAGCUGUUGUUUAUCUGUUCCUAGAGAUGCUACAAUUCUGGAGAAUUUUAUCUUUGAAAAUCUUUAAAAUAUCACAUGAAGAGUUACUGUAUGAUGAGACUUUAAAUUCCUACCACAGCCAUAUAUACAUGCUUAUUAGACGAUGAACCAUACCUGUACUUUUUACUGUUUAUGAGCAUUAAGUGUGGUCAAGCUGUGUAGACCCUUAGGAGCUUGUCAUGUGGUUAAAUCAAGAUUCACUUGCACGUUCACUCACACAUGCUGCUUCUACUCCGGAAGUACGCAUCCACAUACAUCCACUCAUUUCCAUAUCCAGAUUCACCCUAAAUUAUUCUACUCCUAUCUGGGAGAGAAUAGCAAAAAACAUUCUCCUAUUUCUGUUUUUCCCUGAGAAAUAAAUGCUCGAGUUAUCUUAGUUACUACCACUUGCUAUAUUAUUUUAGGAGAUGAGUGCUCUAACAAAAGAGAAAUACGAGGAAAUAAAAAGGGGCAAGUGCCCGGAACCUCGAAAGAAAAGAAAAAGUUAGACGAGAGGUAAAAAUGGACAAGUGUCCGACAGUAGAAUUAGGGGUACAAGAUACCCACCUGAGAGAAAAGAAAAAGAAAAUAUAGAGCAUAUCAUUCUCCUCAAAAAGUUUCAAAAGAGCAAGAAAGGUAUGUAUCCCCUCAAAAGAGCACAAGUAGAAUUAGACUUUCACCAUUGUUAUCACCAUCAUCACCAUACACCAUUCAUUCGCCACACAUGCACAUCUUUAUUUGACUUAUUGACUUGUUCUUCUGGAUCCAUGGUUUGACUAUGCAAUAAAUGUCUUGUAAGUAUGUAUUAGCUGUCUCGCACCUAUGAGCUCCAGAUAUCAAAACCUUAUUAGAGUAGGGUGAGAGAGAAGGCAAUGCUACUAUGCCUCAUACCAAAAAUACCACAUACUUUGAGAGAAAGUAUACACCAUUACUGCCUUGGUAAGGAUCCAGAAAUACCACAAAAGAGAGACUAGAGAGAGUCAUACAAGGAAUCUCUGAGUUUUAUUUGAAAAUCUACAAAAACUCCAGAGCUAUAGUUAAUCGAAGAACAAGAGACAUGGCGCUUGACUAGACCGUUCUAUCUUUUAACUGCUCAAGACACAGGUGACGGUUGCAAGCCCCAUGGUGGAAGGUAAAAUGAGUAAAUUUAAAUCUUAAAAGUUUACCCUAACCCAGAGAUGAGAUCUUGUUUGAACGCAUGUGUACCUUUAAGGUAUAAAAUCACUGCAGAAACUCUUGAGUUCAUCUUUGCUCAAGGACGAGCAAAGGUUAAGCUUGGUCGAGCUUGUUGACGGUCCUUAAUGCUCACAUUUAACUGUCAACUAAACAUGGAAAAGGAUCCAAAUGCAACUGACACCCAUACUUAGGGUUUUAUCUGACAGAAUUCCAUGAGUUUUGGUGUUUCUCUAUUUCUGCAGGGGGUUAUCUGGAAAUACGGAGCAAAGGCCCACACGUCGGGUUUACAUAGUGAUAUUAAUGUGUCGUGCAAUUUUCUAUCAUCUAGAAGACUCCAGAAGCCACAGGAACGAACGGGAAGCCGAGAGGGCUCAGGGACAGGGCGCACGCCCUACUCCCUAGGGCGCCCGCCCAGCUUCAGUGUCCAAUUCGGACUCGUUUCGUGAAUCACGCUCCACCGACCUAAAGGAUCAAGGAAAACUGUGCGAUUAAUGCCGGUUUGAUCCGACAGCCCAGAUUUAUCUGAAAAGACUAUAUAAGCAAGGCCCUCUGGCCCUUGGAGAUCAUACCUCUUCUACAGAAUCAAAGUUAGGGUUUCAAUUCUUCAUCCAAGUAGAGAGGAUCCCUCUAGUUCCUCUAGUUCUAGUUCUAGUUAGUUCUAGUUGUAAUCUAGAAAAUAGGGAGAGAGAAGAGGAGAGCGGAGGAGGAGCCGGAUGAUCUUCCUCAACAUUAUACUUUUGCAGCAACUGGUUCGUUCUUCAUCGUUCUCUAAGUUCUUCAAUUCUUAAUUCCUGAGUUCUUUAAUUACUUUUAUUUACAUUCAAGUUAUUUAUUGGAUUCCCGCUUGCAUCAGGUGCUCUAGUCUUUAUAACGCUAGAGUAGUAAUUAAUAGAUUAGACGUGGUGUUUAGUCUUGCAAUUACCUGAAAUUGCACCCAAUCCUGCGGAUUGUUGUGGUAGCCCUAGGGUAGUGACAGCCCUACCGGUCGACGUAUUCCACCUCGUUCGGCUUCGGUGUUUGUAGGACCAUAGUCAGAGCUUCCUAGCCCCCUUCUCAUCUCUUUCUGUGGUUAGUGUUCUAAUGUCCCGAAAUAAAUAAUCUUUGAAGUAAUUCUUGAUUCUUAGAUCAAUUAGAGAACUCUCAGGAAACUUCCUCUCUUCCCACCAAAAAUAAUUAUAUAGUUAUCCUUGGGCGAUCUUGAAUCUUAAUUAGUACACUCACGUUCCCUGUGGAAAAUCGAUGCUCUGGAAUACUCCCGGGUGAAAGCUACAUCGGUAUCUGUACGAUUGCGGAUUUUUCUGUUUGCGUUUAAAAUACCCAACAACCUUCUCUCUCAUCCUACUCUAAUAAGGCUUUGAUAUCUAGAGCUCAUAGGUGGAAGAUAAUGUAUACAUACUUACAAGACAUUUAUUCCAUAGUCAAACCAUGGAUCCAGAGAAACAAGUCAAUAAGUCAAAUCAAGAUGUGCAUGUGUGGCGAAUGAAUGGUGUAUGGUGAUGAUGGUGAUAACAAUGGUGAAAGUCGAAUUCAACUUUUCCUCUUUUGAGGGGAUACAUACCUUCCUUGCACUUUGAAGCUUUUUGAGGAGAAUGAGAUGCUCUAUAUAUAUAUAUAUAUAUAUAUAUAUAUAUAUAUAUAUAUAUAUAUAUAUAUANNNNNNNNNNNNNNNNNNNNNNNNNNNNNNNNNNNNNNNNNNNNNNNNNNNNNNNNNNNNNNNNNNNNNNNNNNNNNNNNNNNNNNNNNNNNNNNNNNNNAUAUAUAUUUUUCUCUUUAUAGAGGGGACACACACUCUCUACACAUUGAUAUUUUUUUAGAAGAAUAUGAGUCUCUAUAUAUAUAUAUAUAUAUAUAUAUAUAUAUAUAUAUAUAUAUAUAUAUAUAUAUAUAUAUAUAUAUAUAUAUAUAUAUAUAUAUAUAUAUUCUCUCAUGUGGGUAUCUUGUACCCCCUAAUUCUAAUGUCGGACACUUGUCCAUUUUUACCUCUCGUCUCACUUUUUCUUUUCUUCGAGGUUCCGGGCACUUGCCCCUUUUUAUUUCCUCGUAUUCUUUUUU